rnacentral:lncRNA from 1 species
AGCUCUAUGAACUUGGAAGGAAGAUAUGGUCAACCAAAGGAGAAGAGCAGGAAACAGCCAAGAAGGAAUUCAUAGAGUGCCUCAAGCUUCUGGAAGGAGAGCUUGGAGAGAAGCCUUACUUCGGCGGUGAAAAAAUUGGGUUUGUGGAUGUGGCUCUGGUGACCUUCUCUUGCUGGUUUCAUGCAUAUGAGAGCUUUGGAAACUUCAGCAUAGAGGCGGAGUGUCCCAAGUUGAUAGCUUGGACCAAGAGGUGCAUGGAAAAGGAGAGCGUGUCGUCUUCUCUGGAAGACCCACACAAGGUCCAUGGCUUUGUUAUGGGGAUGAGAAAGAAGCUUGGCAUAGAAUAACUAUUUUGUAGUGUUGCUGUGGUAAUAUUAGAUAUAUGUGAGUGUUUGGCUGUUUGCUUAAGUUUUUGCUUUGAAAUUGUAUGGUUACUAUUUGCAGUUGAAACCCCUUUUGGAGGGUUGGUGGGUUUGCUGGAAAGAAAUGUUUUGAAUUUGUUUUCAUUUGUUUUGGACUGGACUAGAGAGGUGUUCUUUGUAUUCCAUCAUUUCGUGUCAUAAACAAGUAUUAACACAAGUUGGAUAAGGCAUGCCUCUGGCCCUUUAUGGUAACGUACAAAGAUAUCAUGGGCCUACAAAGAUAUCAUGGGCUACAGAAUAGGUUAGGGCCCGCUUUUUAAAUCACUUUUUUUAACUAAUAUGUUUGGCAAAAGAUGUUCUUCAAUAAUUUAAUUCAUCUUCCUUGUCGGUCAUUUUAAGUAACAAGAAAAUGAAAAAGAAAUAAGAGAAAAGUUCAAUCACGUUCCAUAAUGUUUGUUUUUGAAAAUUGCUUUUAUGUUAAACAAACAAAAAUAAUUUUUUAAAAUUUUAUAAAAUUUUAUAAAAUAAGGAUGUUUGACAAGUUAUUUUGAAAUUGGUUUUUCUUUUAAAAAAAAAUAAUUUUUCUAUGUUGAUUUUGUAAAAAUAUUCUAAAUUUAAUUAAUAGAAAUUUAAUUGAGGUCUUAUAAAAAAUGAAAUUAGUUUUAAAUUAUAAAUAAAUUAAAAAUAGUAUAAUAUAUCAGCGUGGACCUAUUUUUUUUACGUGCGUCCUCACUCGACGAUGAGACUCGUUUUUUAUUUAUUUGGUGAAAAAUAUGAUUUUUAGAAAAAGAUUUGAAGUCCUCAUUGAUUUUUGUUUUAUUUUUCAAGGGAAAGACAAAAUAAAAAAUAAAAACCCUAAAUAUGAUUUCUGAAGGAAAAAUAGGUUUGUGAAAAAUCGAGUUUGGGUUUGGGGAUCAAGUUACUUAUUAGGAAGGUAUGGUAAUGAGUUAUAACACCCCUCUAAGCUCGUUUAUGUACGACCUCUACUAAAUGAAUUAAGGAAAUUGUGACAAUUAAUUAAUUAAUUAUAGAUACCAAGAAAAAUAAUCAUGUAAAUGAGUAUGUACAAGUCAAGGUGAAAAUUAAUAUACACAAAAAUAAUGAUGAAAUCUAAUUACAAGAAUACACAAAAUAAAUAACAAAAGAAUUAUGCAAAAAUAAUUUAUUGAACUAAAUAAAAAAUAUUAAAAAAAUAGUUUUCAAGAAAUUUCGAAGGAUUUUAUUAAAAAUGAUUUUUAAUUAAUGAUUUUAAUUUUUUUUAUUUACAAAAAAGAAGUUUCAAUUUAUUUUCAAUUAAUGAUUUGAUUCAAUUUCAUUUGUAUUUAAUUUUUUUUAAAAAAAAAGUUAUUUGCACUUAUUAUAUCAAAAGAAUUUAUUACAAAAUUUCAAUUUGGUAAUAAAAAUGAUUUUUACUUGCUUUUACAAAAAAAAUUACAAUUUUAUUUACGAAAGUAUUUCACUUUGUUUUAAUUUGAGAAAAGUGACUUAUACAAAUUAUUAAAAAGAAUAUAACUUUAUUUGCAAAAGAAUUUUUAAUUAAAAAUUAAUUUUUGGGACAACUUUAUUUACAAAAUAAUGUUUGGACAAUUUUUAUUAAACAAAUAAAUUUUUGGACAAUUAUUAUUAAAAAUAAUUUUUCAAAUUCUAUUAAAAACAAUUUUUUUGGAUUUUUCUAAAAGCAUUUUUUUGAAUUUUUAUUAAUAAAAAAAACUUUCUUUUAUUAAAAAGAAUAUUUUAAAAUUAUUAUUUUAUUAGAAUAUAUUUACUAAAUUAUUCCUCUUAUUUAAAUGACAAUUUUGAUUUGUUAAAUAUUUAAUUCUGUAUAUACUCAAUAAAUAUAUACAAACUAAUAUUUACAAGAACUAAUAGAAAUAAAAUCAAACAGAAGUGAGCAAUAAAACGUGUACCCAAAUAAGGUUACAACAAGCUUAAUGUCUCUCUACAACUUUUUUAUUCUUACUUUCUUCCAUGAAAUUUUGUGCUUCACGUGUUAUAAAUUUGUACUCAGCCAAUAGAAUUGCAGAAUAGGCCCAUGCAAAAACAAAAAUAGUUCAAAUGUAAAUAUCCAAAGGUGUACAAAAUCCUUAACAAAUAUUCAAACUCAAAUUCAAAUUUCAAAUUAGUUCGAUAAAUCUUGUCAAUCAAAAUGGACACAAAUUAACAAAUAUAACCUAACAAAAACAUCUCACAUGCUAUAAACCUUAAUCCAAAAAUUUCAAAUUAAUAACCAAAAUACAACACAAUUAGCCAAGCCCAAAAUAUCACAAAAUAAAAUAAAUUCAAUUAGGCCUAAAUUUAAUAUUUCAUAAUCCAAGCCUAAUUUAAUAUACACCAUAAUUGUCCCACAUCCAAAUUAAAUAGUUCAAAUUGGUGAAGCUCAUAUCAAAUAUUCAAGUCAUCAAUCAAAUUUCACCCACAUUGUGGACCCAAAAUCCAUACCUAUAUUAUGGGUCCAAAAUUCAUAUCAAUUAACAAGCCCACAUUAAUAAUACACAUGACCAAAGAAAAUAAUUUCCCAAGCCCAAUCCAAUAAGCCCAAAUAAAUAACAUUAGAUUCAAGUCAAAAUCAAUUACUAUGCAAACAAAAAUAAAAAAAUAAAGAUAAAAAAAUGAAAAUAAAAUAAAGUAAAAAGGAAAUUUACCCUUUUUUUUUAUAACUAUGGGUGGUAGGAUUGCUAGUCGGCAGUGACUGGCAGGUAAUGGCGGGUGGUGGCGGGCAGUGGUUGUCGGUAGUGGUGGGUGGUGGUUGGCCGGUAGUGGCCGUGGAGUGUGGGGAAGGGAAAAGGAAAGAAAAAGGAAGAGAAAAAAAAAUGAAGGAAGAUGGGGAGCGUGUGACAGUGGGGGUUUGUGGAAAAUGGCAGUGUAGAGAGAAGGACUAUGAGAAGAAGAAAAAAAAAAUGGAAGAGAAAAUGGGGACCAUCGUGUGUGAUAGUUGGGGGGAAGAAAAAAAAAAGAAAAAAGGAAGGGAGGAGAUGGGAGAGUUGACCGUGUUUGGUGUGUGGGUCGUGGAGCGGUUGUUGUGUUGGAAGGGAGCCUGAAGAAGAAAUGAUGGAGGAAAAAAAAGUGAAGAGAGGAACGUAGAGAAAGAUGAUAAAAAAAAAAAAAAAAAAAAAAAAACUUGGAGGGGGUAUGGGGAGUGGCUUAGACAUGUAGGAGAAGGAAAUGGGUAAGGGAAGUAGGUGGAGUGGGUAGAAUGAGGGGAAAGAGGAAGAGAGAAGAGAGAAGAGAGUGAAAAUAAAUAAAAUUAAAUUAAAAAUAAAAAUAUAAUAAUAAUAAUAAUAAUAAUAAUAAAUAAAUAAAUAAAUAAAUAAAAAUAAUAAUAAAAAUAAUAAUAAAAAUAAUUUAUAAAAUAAUAAAAACUAAGAAUUAAAGGGUGUAAGUGGGCUAAACAAUUAAGAUGUAAUCAAAAUUUAAAUCUAAGGAUAAAAUUGAGCUCAAUAUCAAUGUAAAAAUAAAAUUAGGACAAAUUUUGGGGUCUACAAUCGGUUUUCAUAUAUUAUUUCUUAUGGUGAUUAGAUCUAUUUACUAGGUUGUAACUUAAAAAAAAAAAAAAAAAACCUAUUAGUAAAUUCAAUGUUACUUGAUUUGAAGUUUAUUCUUUAAUAAAAAAAUUUAUAAAAAUAUAAGUAUGUAUAGAAAAAAAGUAGACUCAUUAAAACCCAAUUUUUAUCCAUAAAUUUUUAAUAUUAACCACUAUUUAAGUUUUAAGUUAUUUAAAAAAAUUACUAAACUCAUUAAUUAAUUUAAUGUAUUAAGUUUUGUUUAAUUUGGAUUUUAUUUGUCUAGUGAAAUAAAUAAAUAAAAAAUAUAGUUUCAUGUAGAAGAGAAACAAUAGAGUCAUUGUAGAUUAGAACUAGAAGUUAUAAAAAAUAUGUAAAAUAUAUAUAAUUAUAUAGCUGGAGUUUAUAUUAUAAAUUAUAAAGUUAAAAAAAAUAUAAAAAACUACCUUCAAUGUAAUUUCUAAUUUCUUUUAAUUAUAAUGUAUAAUCAAAAGUUAGACAAAACAAAAUUGUACACUCAUAAGUUAAAUAAUGAAUAUUUCAUAGCCUCAAAGGUGUAUACAAUUUUACACAUUUUUGUUAUGAUAAAAAUAAUCCAUAGCCAAAAACUAUGAAAGCGAUCAAUUCGUAAUUUUUAUUUUGUUAAUAUUACAUGAUGUUCAUGCAUUUUUUUAAACCAUAUUUAUAAUAAUCCUAUAGCGAUAAAAUAUAACAAAAUCUUAAAUCGUUAUAGUUUUAUUAUAGAAUAUUAACUGGAUAAAUAUUGUUAGAUAAUUUAAUUAAUUUAUUUUAAUAAAUUAAAAUAUUAUUCUAAUAAAAUUAUUUCAAAUAUUAUUCUAAUUUAAAAAUUACUAGACUGUUAAGUCUUGUUUAAUUUUGAGUUCAUUUAUAUAGUAAAAUAAAAUUGGAAAAUAUGAUUUCAUGUAGAAGAAAAAUAAUAGAGUUGUUAUAGACUAAUUUUCAUCCAUAAAUUUUUAAUAUUAAUUACAUCAUUAUUUGAGUUUUAAGUUAUUUCUAGAAAUUACUAAAUUUAUUAAUGAAUUCAACACAUUAAGUUUGGUAUAAUUUUAAGUUUAUUUGUCCAAUGAAACAAAAUUGGAAACAAUAAAGUCAUUCAAGUUCAAUUUUUGUCCAUAAAUUUAUGGUAUUAAUUGGAUCACUAUUUGCAUUGCAAUUUAUUUUUAAGAAUUACUUAGACUUGUUAAUAAAUUCAACGCAUUAAGUCAUACUUGAUUUGGUGAUUAUUUACUAAGUGAAAAAAAUUGUAAAAAUAUGAUUAUAUGCAAAGAAAAAACUAGCCAAGACAUUUAAAUGAAUUUUGGUGUAUGAUAUUCUAAUGUUAGUGAGUUUCAUGACUUUAUAGUACUAACUAAAUCAAUUUUUGACUUUUAAGUUAUUUUUAAAAAUUAGUAAAUUUUAUGUAUAAAGUAUAAUUUGAUUUAGAAUUUAUUUUAUCAAUGAAAAUUUUCUUAAAUUAAAUGAAAUUCAUUAAAACACAUGUAAUUUAAAAGAAUAUUAUAUUUGAAGAUUUUUAGUAUCGGUAUUAGAUCGUAGAAAGAGGUAAAGAAGAAUGAUAUCAUCUUCAAUCUUAUUUGCUUUUUAUAGUUUUUUUAAAUUCCUCUAUAUUUUUCUUUUGCUUUUAAAAAUUGAUGAAAACAAUUUCUACUUGUUUUCUAAAAUAUGUUUUUUAUUUCACUUUAUUUUUAAAAAUUACAAAUAGAAAACAACUAACAAACAAUUUUAUGAAUUUUUAAAAAUAGUUUUUUUUUUAAUUUUUAAAAACAAAAGUUAUUUUUUAAUGAAAUGGCCAAAUGGGCUAAAAACUUUUCAACAGCAAAUUUUGAGAAUUUGGGUCAAGUGCUAUGUGCUCUUGUACAAUCCUCCACUAUUUUUGGCCUUCAUGUCACCGUUGUCAACUUUUACUGUGAAUAAGUUCACGAGCUUAUCUUACUUUAUAUUCGAGAGCAAGGAACAAGAUCUUGAGAGAUGCUUGGUUUGUUUUUUUUUUUGUAUUAAAGAAAUAAAAGAGUAUUCACUUACUAUUCCAUUUUGUACUAAAAAAAUUUGAUAAGACAUUGAUAGGCAUGUAAAUAUUAUAACAUUUAAAUAAACUAAAAAUAUUUUUGUUAUAUUAUUUUAAUUUUAAUUUUUGAACUUUCAUAUUAACGUUCGUUUUAAUUUUUCAUAUGAUUUAAAAUUGAUCAUGGUUCUAACCUUUUACUAGGCUAAAAUCUUUAACUUUUUUAGAUACAUAAAAUAGAAAAUAAAAUAUAUUUUCAUAUAAAUUGUAUUAACAUUUCUUUAAUUAAUUUUUAUAUUUCUUAAAAUACAUAUAUCUUAAAAUACAUAUAUCUUUUUUAAAAAAUAAGUACAUCAUUUAGAAAAAUAGGUACAUCUAAUAUAAAAACAUGUACAUUUCAUUUCAUCGGGGAUUCUUAUCCUCAUUCAACCUAAUUCGGGUGUGGGAUUUCACUUAUGUAGGUCUCAGAAUGCAUUUGAGGUCUUCUUAUACCCUAUUCAACAUGAUAUAACUUUGUGUACAUGUUUUAAAAAAAUGUAUAAAAGUUUAGAAAAGUAUUUACAUCUAAUUUGAGUUGAAUCAUUCCCUUAUUCGACCUAUUUUGAAUCUAAAUUUUAACUUCUAUAUACCUCAUGAUGCAUUCCCAAACCCUAUUUGGCAUGGUAGAACCCUAGGUACAUAUGUUACAAAAAUAAGUAUACUCUUAAGAAAAAGUACAUCUUUUACAAUAAUAACUAUAUUCUUAAAUAUAUAUAUAUAUAUAUAUAUAUAUAUAUACAUUCGUAAGAAAAAUGCAUAUAUUUGAUUUGAGGUUAACCAUGAUCCAAUUCAACCUAAUUUGGAUAUAAGAUUUGACUUAUAUAUGCCUCAAAAUGUAUUUUAUGCCUUCCAAAACUUCAUGUAGCAUGGUAGAAGUAUAGGUUCUGAAAAGGUGAAUCUCAAUAGUGGAAUACACCUAAAGGGGGGUUGAAUAGGUGUUUUGACCAAUUGAACAAAAUCUCAACUCAAAUUAGUAAACCUUAAAACUUCUUGAAUAUUUUUCUUCUCUUCACAAAGUCUAAAAAACAAAUUAUAAAUCACAUGAAUAUAUGAAUGCAACAACACUCCCCAACAAUAUUCAAAUGAAAUUCACAUGCACAUGAUCUAAUACUCCUAAACCCAAAUCAACUUAAAACUAAAUUAUGAUAAAAACAAGAUCAAUAUACAUCAAAAUAUCAAUGAUUAACAAUCAGAAAUGACUUCAAAGAUAAUUCAUAGCCAUUUCUCUUUAUCAUUCAAUCAAAUACUAGACAAUCAAAAUUAUAAUAAAUUGUAGAAACUAAAAAAUGAUGCGAAGAAGAGAAAACGAGACAAUGAGACACCAUAAAUUUACAUGGAAAAUUUUUGAAGAGAUAAAAAACCAUAAGCCUACUACCAAUCAAAAACAUCCACUAUGAAGAAUAAAAACUAAAUACAAGGUUUUACCUAGCUCAAGCCAACUAAUCCUUCCCGGACCACUUGACUAGUACCUUCACUUUUAGUUUCUCACAUUCUUAUUUUAGAGCACAUUUGGAGUCUACACCAAGCUCGAUCUCGACCUCUUAUUGAUUUCACAUAAGAAAAAAAUGGGUUUUUGUGCAAAACCAAGAGAAUUAGAUAUGAAUGUUUCAAAAAUCAACCCAUGCUCAUUUUCAAAAAAUCCAUUUUAAAAAAAUUUCUUAGAAAACUUGGAUGGAUUUUCUUCGUAGGUAAACACCCUUAAAAUGGUGAGGAAAGAAAAAACUCUCUCACAACUAUUGUAGUCACCACUUAUAGAGAUGGAAGAGAUUUGAUUUUAAAUGAGAAAGAAACCCUUAAUCGAAGGGUUGAAAGUUGAUCUUAAAAAUAGGUUGGUUGGAUCAAUCUGCCUCUACACUUAGAUCAAUCCAAAAACAGGGGAACAAAAGCCUUGUGCUAAUAAUAUUUCUCCUUGUUUUCUUAACUCAUUUAAAGAUGAAAAAACAGGGUUGAUUCAUAUUCAAUCACCACACUCGACUAUAUACCUCAGCCUCUUAGCAAAGUUUUAAUCUUCAAAGGUCAAGUAGUCCGAAGAGGGAUUUGUAAACUGAGUUAGGGGACACUUAGGAAUUUUGUUUGAAAUUACCAACCUAGCUAAACACUCACAAUCUCCUCCUUUGGCAAUUCUGGGACAAAACUCUUUACAAUACGAAUGAGUACAAGUAAGUAAGUCCCACCCAACUCUCAUACAAGGCCACACACUCACUCAAAACCUCACCAAAGGUGCUACAAAUCCUAUAAAUAAAUCUCAAGAAAAAACUUUAGGAGCACUUGCACAUAUUACCAAGACACUUCCAUAAGUUUCGAAUGAAUUGAUACACAAAUAUCCACAUAUAUCCACAAAAUCACAUGUCUAAAGAUAGUUAAUAUGCAUUCAUGAGUUCAAAAACGUGUCAAAUAUCCAUCGAUAUACAAAAAGGGUGAUCAUGAUCAACAUAUCAAAUAUCCAAAGCAACAAAACACAAAGAAACCGUCAUGAUCAACUACAUGUCAUAUCAACAUCCAUGUAAAAUGUAAAAUGUUUCCUAAUUUUUGUCCCAGUAGGAGACAAAAGGUCAUAAUCUCCCAUUUUCUAUCUUAGAAAAAAGACAAAUGAAUGAGAAUUCAAUAGCAUAAUAUCUCACAUCCAAAUCAACAAACAUCCACUUUUCAACAAAAUGUCAAAUACCCAAAAAUCAAAUAUUCACAUAUUACCAAGUAUCCAUAUCAACAUUUCAGAAAAAAAAAAUUAUAGGAUACAAUAAUCUCCUCUUGACUCCCAUCACAAGAUAUAAGAAUCUCUCCCUGAAUCCUAUCACAUGGUUUCAAUUAAAAACUUUCAAAAAAUAUGCUUUAUCACCAUGAAAAUAGAUUUCAAGCAUGAAAAUUUAUGGAAACCACUCAAAAUGAACAACCAAAGCCUAGGAUUAGCAUUCCUAGAAACUAGGAACACUCCAAGGCAAAAAUGAAAUCUCAAACUAUUAAAACUAUUGUGAGAAGACUCCACACACAAAAAAUAAAUAAAUAAAAUCCAAAUGAGACUAAGGGCUGAUUGGAAUUUCCAGAAGUGUAGAUUGUGUUGUGUUGAUUGUGCUGUGAAAAACAUAGUCCUAAGGGUUGAUUGGAAUUUCCAACUGCUGGAACGGAAUCCCAACUACACAAGAUACAAUCUAGUGACGCACAUUGGAGGUCCUAGCCAACACAUACUAUGUAGAAGGCAAUUUCUGACAACACCGACGCACUAAGAAGAGACACACAGACCGACGACAUGAGUUGGACAACACAACAAUUCUAGGCUAUUCGACGAGGCUGUUUGGUGGGAUUGGCUAGACUUGAAACGCUCACCAGAUAGGGAAGUCUGACUAUAAAGGUUUCCAAUGGUAGAGACUUAUGACGGUAGUGGUCGGAAUGAUGAACCGACGAUGAUGGCUAAAGAGAAGCAUAGAGUAGAGAAGUUUCCUUCUUUAGAACAAAAGACCUAGGGCUUUUGAAAGAAAUGAAUUGGGAAAAACUGAUUUAGGGAUUUUGACUUUUUUACUUUUAGUUACGAAAAUACCUCUCAUCCAUUAAACCAUAUGAGCAUAACUAGUUGGGGGCAAAAAUGGAAAUUUUCACAAAUGCAUAAGUGGUAUCGAUUUUAGUGGAUUGAUCUAGCUUUCGAUUGUGCUCUCGAUGAUACACAGUCACAUAGGUUUGAACAUACCAAAUUUGAAAAAAAUGGUUAAGUGUGUGAGAGACAAGUACUAGGUGGUAUCGACCUUGGUGGAUCGAUCUAAGAUUCAUUCAAGGGCUCUCGAUCACUACAUUGUGCACACAAUGGAUCGAUCCACAAAUUCAAUAGAUCGAUCGACACCUAAUUGAAAAAUGACUUAGGCAAAAACUAUUGAAAAAUCACAAGAAAUACACCAAUAGGCUUUCCAAAAACUGAAAAUUGAUUGACCAAAGAUGAGAUACAAUAGGAUGGCAUACUUAUAUUUCAAUUAAUGAGUUAGAGUUGAUUCACAUUGAACAAAAAUGCUUCCAAGAACUUAACAAUGGACAAAAUUAAUAAACAUAGAGAUUGAAGUACUUUCCAAAUUUAUCAAAUGAAUAGGUAAAAAACAAAUGAUUAUCAACACUCUAACAAGGAAGCUUAAGCUAAAAAAAAAAACUCACUCAUGACACCAUAAAACGGUGAAAAUGUUAAAUAAUUUCCACUUAUAAACCUAUAUUCAUUUAUGAGCCAAAAAUCAUUUUCAAGAUACUCUUCCUUUCUAGAGAAAUUCAAGAUAAUGUUCCAAGAAGUCAAUUUGCAUCUCUCUUGGCUAGAUUUCUGUUUAACAUGACCUAAUCACAUCCCUUUAAUAAAAUUCAUACACUAUUUGCUUUUCAUAUUUAGCAUUGAAAGGAAUACAAAGCUAUAAGUUUUACCUUAAAGAUCAGUUUUUGACUUGAGGAUCUCUAAGGACGCCUUUACAACAUAACAACAUAAGAGAUGUCCCACUUUUGCAAGGGAGGCUUUUUAAUUCUUGAAACACUGCCAAAGAGCCAUAUCCAUUCCGGGAAACUUCAUAUUUUCUUUUUCUUUUCUUUUUCAUUUUUUUUAAAAAUUUAAUUUCAAAGAGAGGACAAACAAUCAAAGAUUGAUAUUCUCAACCUCUCAAGGAUAUUCCAGGUGUCUUUACUCACUCUUUAAUGCUCAUUAAAUGGGUAUAAGUUUACAUUUAGACUUUAAAGAGCAUUAUUCACCAUUUAUGCAAACACAAGGUCUAACAAUGAGCUUUUUCUCACUUAAUAGAAAUGAAGCUAAUCAUUUGUAGUUUAUCUAACCAAAUCAAAAUAGCAAGGAUUCAAUAUCAUGUUUAUCAAACAAGCCAUGGAGAUAAAGACAUCUUGAAGCUUUUAAGAUCAUGAUGAGUUAAUUUAACUUUUAAACAAAAUGAAUAAGCAUGUCACUCUCAUGAACUCAACAAUUGUUGAAAAUUUAUGAAAAAUGGAGAAAAGAUUGAACCAAAACAAAAAGAACAUCAAGUUGAUGAUAUUUGGGAACUUAGGAAGACAACUAGGACUCAAGAAUAUGCAAGAGGAGUCCUAGACAAGUUUUAGAGGCAAUUAAAUAGAGAGUAUAUAAACCUAUGGGGCUCCUAAGUGAUUCAAACCUAGAAAUGUCCAAAGGUUUAGUAACAUUGUUAGCAAUUUGACUUUCUAUAGGGAAAAACUCUAGUGAAACAACCUUGUCUUCUACCAAGUCUUGAAUGCAGUGAUGCUUAAUGUCCACAUGUUUUUAUCUAGAAUGAAGAACACGGUUCUUUAACCUAUCAAUAACAUUGGCAUCAUCAAAUUCCUCCCCAUCAAUCUUAACUUUUACAAUGGGAUGCUCUUUUUCAUUUUGCAACAAUCUAUGUUGUAGCAAGUGAUUAACACAUACAAUUUUAGAACUUCCACACACAAGAGAAGAGGAUGAAGGAGAUUUUUUACUAACAACAUAGCACUUAUCACAAAUUCUCAAGCCCAUCAUCACACAUACAUCAUUCAAGUUAAACACCUUGCAAAAAUUUUGUGAAAAUUUUACAUUGAACUCAUUCCCACACAUUUGGCUUAUUCUAACUAAGUUAGCCUUUAAACCUUCAUAUAAGACCUCUUCAAGAUUAGGAAUUUCGGGGGCACAAAUGGUACCUUUGUCUUUCACCCUAGCCACAUUACCAUAUCUAAAUGUCACAUUUCCUCCAUCAAAUUCAGUGAAUGAAGUGAACAAAGAUUUAUUUCCAGUCAUAUGAUGUGAGCAUCUACUAUCAAGAUUCCAUGAGUGUGACUCACUAGCUCUAAGUACGUUAUGGACAACAAAACACUUCAACUCAUUCAUUUACACCCAAAUUUGUUUAAUAUUUGAGACUUGUCUUUUCAUUCAAAGUGCUUCCUUUCAACUCACCAUUAUGAGGGAUCUUUGACCACUUCUUGGACACUCUCUUAUUCUCAUUCAAUAACCUAUUCUUCAAAGUAUAACAUUCAUUCAUUAGGUUGGUAAAUUUCUUUUGAAAAUUAUCAGACAAUCUUGCAUAACAUCUAUAAAAAAUGUGUCCCAUUUUGCCACAAUGAUUGCAAUGAAACUUGAUUUGAGAAUGAGUUUUCUUAGGAGAUUAUUUUUCACAAGGCUUAACAAAAAUUGUUUUACCACUACUUGGAGUAGUAUUUGCAUCAACAAAUCCUAAGCCUUGUUUAUCAAAAAAUUUACACCCUAAAUUGAUCAACUCAUUAAGUCUCUUAGAGCUAGGAUGUGACUCUUCCUUCUUAAGACUUAACCCAUCCUUGAACAUUUGAUUCACUUUUCAAUACAUAAUAUUUUUUCUUCACUUCCAAAUGUUCAUUUUCAAGAAAUCCAAUUUUGUCAAGCAAAACCUUAUUUUCUCCCUUCAAGACAUCAAUCUCAUUGAUUAGAAUAUUCUUAGAAGCCUUCCACUUGACUUGUUCUUGUUUAAGGCUCAAGCACUCCUUAUACAAAGUCUCAUAUGCCGUGUCAAAACUCAUGUCAUCAUCAUUGGAGUCACUUGACUCAUGACUCACUUAUCACUUAAGACCUCUUUCUUGAGUGGUUUCUCAUUGACACUUGCAACAAAGGCUAUGAAGUUAGUGCAUUUUUCACUUCCAUUGGAUUCUUUUUCACUUGAUUGACAAGAUUCUAUGUUGCUUCAAGUGACUUGCAUGACCUUCUUUCCUUUUUUUCUUUGAGGGACAUUUGGCGGCAUAAUGUCCAUUUCCUCUACAUUUAAAGCACUCAAUCUCCAACUCUUUUUUCACACAUUUCUCCAUAUCCUUCUUUUUUUUCUAAUAGAGUUCCUCCAUUUUUACCAUCAUUUGAUUCUUUCUUGGAUUUUAUGAAUUUCAUGUACUUCUUAAUUUUUUUAGUAAACUUAGUAAGCACACCAUUUGAUAUUUUCUCAUCAUCCUCACUUUCGGAACUUAGGGACUCUUCUUUAAUAGUUUUUAAAGCAAUUCCCUUAGCUUUCCUAGGUGAUACAAGCGUCAUCUCAAAGGUUUGGAGGGAACCUACAAGUUCAUCUAUCUUCAAGGAAUCCACAUCCUUAGACUCUUCAAUGGUGGUAACCUUAGCUCUAAAUCUCUCUCGAAGAGAUCUUAAAAUUUUUCUAACCACCUUAGUGUUAGAGACGGAUUCACCUAGAUUGAAGUUAGAAUUCACUAUAUCCAUCAAUUUUGCAUGAAAUUCUCCAAAAGUUUCAUGGUCAUCCAUCCUAAUGGUCUCAAACCUAGAUGUCAACAUUUGAAGCCUGGACAUUUUUACGACAUUAGUUCCUUCAUGAGUCACUUGGAGGAUAUCCUAAGCCUUCUUUAACCAAAGUGCAUGUGGCAAUCCUAUGAAAUUCAUUCGUACUAAUGGCAUUGAAGAUGGAGUACAUGGCUCUAGCUUUAUUCUCACUUGCUUCAUUUUCACUUCUAUCACAUUCCAAUUUUGGCUUGAUAACAUUUGUUAGUUUACCUUCUCUAUCUAACACCUUAGGUGGAGACUAACCAAAUUCAAUGACAUUCCAAACUUUUUCACUUUGCAUUUUGAGAAAAUAUUGCAUUCUCACUUUCCAAUGAGAAUAAUUUUCACCAGUUAAGAAUGGUGGUCUCCUAAUGGAAGAUCUCUCUUAAUGAGGUUCCAUGAUUGAGAUUUAAGGACCGAAAAUGAUUUUUUCUUUAAAAACCCUCUCUGAUACCAAUUGAAAAGGUGAAUCUCAAUAGUGGAAUACACCUAAAUGGGGGUUGAAUAGGUGUUUUGACCAAUUUAUCAAAAUCUCAACUCAAAUUNNNNNNNNNNNNNNNNNNNNNNNNNNNNNNNNNNNNNNNNNNNNNNNNNNNNNNNNNNNNNNNNNNNNNNNNNNNNNNNNNNNNNNNNNNNNNNNNNNNNAAAAAAUGCACACUCUCUCACAAAGAAUGUAAAUUUUUCAAAAAAAAAAAAAAAAAAAAAACUUUCUUUUAUGGGGGGGCGCGGUGCUAUACAUUCUUAUAUAGGUAUAUAUAUAAAAAUAUAGAGACCUCACAGAGAAUGUGAGGGGUUCCUGUUCCUUGUGGGUCACUUCUAAAUCCUACACACACCCCUAAGAAACACACACACACUUUUUUUAUGGUGAACCACGACAAUAUACAUCCUUAUUUGGAUCUCUCUAUAAACAUAUAGAAGUGUGGGAGUGUGUGAGGCUCUCCCUUAUUUGAGUGGGCGUUUCUAAAACCUAUAUACAAAUUUUUUUACAUAUAGAAAUAUGAGAGGUACACGUCUAUUAUCUUUUCAUACCAUAUCUAUAUCACUCACUCUCUCUCUCACGUUUGUUUUGUGUGUAUAUAUAUAUAUAUAUAUAUAUAUAUAUAUAUAUAUAUAUAUAUAUAUAUAUAUAUAUAUAUAUAUAUAUAUAUAUAUAUAUAUAUAUAUAAAGUAUAUCCUUUUUAGGUUGUGCCUUUGAAUUAUUCCACUUNNNNNNNNNNNNNNNNNNNNNNNNNNNNNNNNNNNNNNNNNNNNNNNNNNNNNNNNNNNNNNNNNNNNNNNNNNNNNNNNNNNNNNNNNNNNNNNNNNNNCAAAGAUGAUUCAUAGUCAUUUCUCUUCAUCAUUCAAUCAAAUAGUAGACAAUCAAAAUUAUAAUAAAUUCUUGAAACUGAAAACUGAUGCUAAGAAGAGAAAGAGAGACAAUGAGACACCAUAAAUUUACAUGAAAAAUCUCCGAAGAGAUAAAAAACCAUGGGCCUAUUACUGAUUGAAAACAUCCACUAUGAAAAAUAAAAUCUGAAUACAAGGUUUUACCUACCUCAAGCCAACCAAUCUUUCCCAAACCACUUGACUAGUACCUUUACUUUCAGCUUCUCACCUUCUUCUUUCGAGGCACACUUGGAGUUUGUACCAAGCUCAAUCUCGACCUCUUCUUGAAUUCAUACAAGAACAAAAUGGGUUUUUGCACAAAACUGAGAGAAUGAGAGAUGAAUGUUUCAGAAAUCAACCCAUGUUCGUUUUUAGAAAAUCCAUUUUUUUAAAAAAAUUAUUGGAAAACUUGGACGGAUUUUCUUCAUAGGUAAACACCCUCCAAAUGGUGAGGAAAGAAAAAACUCUCUCACGGCUACUACAGUCACCACUUCCAGAAAUGAGGGAGAUUUGAUUUUAAAUGAGAGUGAAACCUUAAUCCAAAGGUUGAAAAUCGAUCUAAAAAACAUGUUAGUUGGAUCAAUUUACCCCUAUACCUAGAUUGAUCCAAAAACAGGGGAACAAAAGCCUUGCACCAACAAUAUUUCUCUCAGUUUUCUUUACUCAUUUAAAGAUGAAAAAUAGGGUUGAUUCACAUUCAAUCACCACACACUCAACCACAUACCUUGACCUCUUAGCAAGUCUUAAUCUUCAAAGGUCAAGUAGUUCGAAGAGGGAUUGGUAAACCAAGUUAGGGAACACUUAGGAAUUUUUUUCGGAAUUUCCAACCUAGCUAAACACUCACAGGUUCAUUUUUUUAGAAACAUAUAACACCUUAAGAAAAAUAUGUACAUUUGAUUUCAACUUAACAUGACAGAGUCACACUCAUUUGGGUCUAAGAUUUGACUUAUGUAUGCUACAAAAUGUAAUUAAGAGCUUCCCAAACCUCAUUUGACAUGGUGGAACCCUACCUAAGGUACAUCUUUUACAAAAAUACAUACAUUCUUAACAAAUAUAUAUAUAUAUAUAUAUUUUGAAGAAAAAUACUUACAUUUUUUUCAAGCGAACUGUGUGUUGGCGUCGUAGAUCUAAGGAACGGAAACAAUACGAAUUUAUUUAUUUAUUUUUUUAAAUUGAUCUUUAGGGUUAAAGUGCUAACCUUUAGGUUUGGAUGUUUCAGACCUUAAAUUCCAAGUGUUGAAGAUGACAUUGAAGUUGUUGGAAGUCUCGUAAACCCAUGGUCUUUUGCUUGAUGACUCAACUUUAUUCUUGGCACAUUUUUGAUAGGAAGGAAAGAAAGGUGGAGGCUAGAGCUCUCUUUAUCUCUAAAUGGUGGAAGGAAAAAGUGAUGAAGACUCUAACCCCUAGGGGGUAUUUAUAGGGUUCCUAACUAAGCUUAAGUGACUUGAGCCCACAUGGGCUUGGGUAACUUAAUUUAGGCCAAAAUGGAUCCUAAUUGAUUAAUUAACCCAAUAGGGCCUACUAAUUAAUUAAUUAGCUCAAUCUAGAGACUUUGUUCACUUAUCCUUGUGCAAUCUUGUAUAAUUACCAAAACACCCUUAUGCACAAAAGUAAACCUAUAGUCAAUUCGACCCUCAUAACUAUGCCAAAAAGAUAUAUAAGCUCAGAGCGGGGACCACUAGGAUCCAUAAGAGUACUAACUCCCUCAGGAUCCAAUUAUGAAGUUGAUUCAACAUCUUAUUACAAAGAAUCAACCAAACUCCAAUAUUCUAUGUAAAUAACAACAAGACACUACGUGCUCGGGUCUAUGACCUAGUAUCCAUUGUGUUCAGUCUUCCCAUGAACUGGUGUUUUAGUCUAACAAGGUGAAAGCUAUCAACCUUUCAAGACUCUCUACCAUCCUUGUGUUACAAAUCCUCCUAUUGUAUAUUCAAUUGACAUGUCUUAGCUUUCAAAGAGCUUAUGUCAAGUUCUACUUAAGGAACUAUUAUGACCAUAGUUUCCAUGAACACAUCCCCUUAAGAUCACCCAAGGGGACACAUUGUCUCAAUCCCAUGAGAUAUCAUGGUGUCUAUUGAGAAUGCCUAUUGUUACCGACUUCCAUUAACAGUGACCCAAUCCAUAGGGAAUAUAUGAUCAACUUACGAUCUCACCCAUAGGUAAAAGUCAUUGCUAAUUUUAGUACAAUCUCAAUAUUCUCUCAAGGUUGAGAGAUAACACAAUGAAGUAUCUUGGUGAGGUCAUGACUACUUGAUAGUCUUAAGUCAUGACUCAUCAUAGGUCUUGUCCAACGUGUAAUCAUACACAGUAGUGUACUCACCAUGGGAAACCCAUCCCAAUAACGAAGACCAACCAUCCCUCCAAUUAGGAGGUGGUGCACUACAACCUCUAAUGGGUUGCCUAGACCCAUAAACCGGUUGUGAACAAGUCAAUUAUUUGCAAGGAACCCAUGACUUAAAGAUCUUCUAUGCAACUCCUAAUGCACCUAAGUCAUGUACAAUGCAAAAUAUGUUGACAAGACUUCUCAUAAAAUAUAAUACAUGGAAUAAAGAUAGAUAAAAGUGAAAUGGGAACAUCAUUAAAUAAAUAAGGAAUUUCAAAUUUAAUACACCAUGUUAUGCUUUUAAGAGCUCUAUCUUAAGACUAUAAUCCUAUUUGACCUUAUUUAGGUCUAGGUAUUCACUUAUGGAAGCCUGAGAAUGAAUUAAAGGUCUUUCCUUACCUUGUUAGGCUUUUCUAAACCAUAAGAACAUCCUUAAGAAAAAAUACAUAUAUUUUUAUGGAAAACAUGUACGUUCUUAAAAAAACAAAAUAUGUGCGUUUUUUUUAAAGGAGAUUGUGACCUUAUUUUGCCUUAUUUAGGUUUUAAUAUUAACUUAUGGAAGCCUUGUAAUAAUUUUGAGGCUUCCCAUUCCUCGUUGGUCAUUUUUAAAGUCUACGUACAUCUUUAAGAAAAAUAUGCACAUUCUUAAACAAAGUAUGUAAAUUCUUCAAAAAAAAAAAAAAAAAAAACCUUUUCUUUUAAGGUGGACCAUGGUUCUAUUCAUUCUUAUUUAGGUCUAAAUAUUAAAUUAUAGAAGCCUCAUAAUGAAUUUGAGGUCUUCCUGUUCCUUGUAGGUCAUUUCUAAAUCCUACAUACAUCCUUAAGAAACAUACAUGCAAUUUUUUUAAGGUGAACCAUGACAAUAUACAUCCUUAUUAGGAUCUCAAUAUUAACAUAUGGAAGUGUUGGAAUGUUUGAGGCUUUCCCUUAUUUGAUUGGGCAUUUCUAAAACCUAUGUACAAUUUUUUUAACAUAUGGAAAUAUGAUAGGUACAUGACUAGUAUCUUUUCAUACCAUAUCUAUAGCAUUCAUUCUUACUAUCAUGUUUGUUUUGUGAUUAUAUAUAUAUAUAUAUAUAUAUAUAUAUAUAUAUAUAUAUAUAUAUAUAUAUAUAUAUAUAUAUAUAUAUAUAUAUAUAUAUAUAUAUAUAUAUAUANNNNNNNNNNNNNNNNNNNNNNNNNNNNNNNNNNNNNNNNNNNNNNNNNNNNNNNNNNNNNNNNNNNNNNNNNNNNNNNNNNNNNNNNNNNNNNNNNNNNUCAAAAAAAAAAAAAAAAAAAACCCUUUCUUUUAAGGGGGGGCACGGGUCUAUUCACUCUUAUUUAGGUGUAAAUAUAAAAAUAUAGACGCCUCACAAAGAAUGUGAGGUCUCCCCGUUCCCUGUGGGUCACUUCUAAAUCCCACACACACCCCUAAGAGACACACACGCACUUUUUUUAAGGGGAGCCACGACACUAUACACCCCUAUUUGGGUCUCUCUAUUUACAUAUGGAGGUGUGGGAGUGUGUGAGGCUCUCCCCCAUUUGAGUGGGCGCUUCUAAAACCCAUGUACACUUUUUUUAACACAUGGAAAUAUGAGAGGGACACGUCUAGUGUCUUUUCUCACCCUAUCUAUAGCACUCUCUCUCUCUCUCACGUGUGUUUUGUGUGUAUAUAUAUAUAUAUAUAUAUAUAUAUAUAUAUAUAUAUAUAUAUAUAUAUAUAUAUAUAUAUAUAUAUAUAUAUAUAUAUAUAUAUAUAUAGAUAUAUCCUUUUUAGGUUGUGCCUUUGAAUUAUUCCACUUCUAAUGGUUUGAAUUGUUUUUUCUAUUCUAAUGACUAUAAUUACCAUGGUACCAAGAAUUAUGUUUACCACGACCAUGAUUGUGUCCUUAGCCUUGUUCACGUCCAAGUCCAACUCAAUGUCUAGGAGCUUGGACGGAUGUGACAGUUGCUUCUAGCAAUGACACAUACCUAAUAGUAUGAGGUUGAUGAUUCUUCGGUAGAAGUUCAUUAUUUUGUUUAGCCAUAAGAAGACAUUAAACUAAUUCAAAAUAUUUAGUGAAAUGAUGUUCUUGAUAUCGUUGCCAUAGGAGUACAUUCGAGGCAUGAAAAAUGGUGUUCAUUAUUCUUUAAUGAUUUUUUCUCCAUAUAAAUUGUGAACAACUUUUGAAUAAAGUCGAGUUGUGGUCAUUGACAGACUUGAAAUUUUGUAAUCUCAAGUGCAUCUAAUCAUGAUGUGCUUUUGGAAGGAUUACAAUCUCGUGGUGGCCAUAUCAUUAUGUUAUAUUAUUCCAAAGGAUCAAAGUAUCAUUCCAUUAGAUUAUUUCAAAGGAUGAAAAUUCUUUGAUUGUAAGGAAUUCACCUUUUAUUCCUUCAUCAAUGUGAUAAUGAAGGAAUAUUAAUGCUCUAGUACGAUCUUGUGAGGAUGCCUCAUUUUAUUUUUUAAUGGUCUUUUCAAGAUUCAUAUUGUUUAGGUGAAUUUUAGCAUCUAGAAUCCAUAUAAAUAGUUUGCCUGAAAUAGGGAGUGUAACAAACUCAAACUUGGUAAGAUUUGACAUUAUUUGAAAACUAUAUUUGAAAUAAUUUAAUUGGAAUAAUAUUUCAAUUUACCAAAAUGAAUUAUAAAUAAAUGAAUAAAAUUAUCUAACAAUAUUUUAUCAGGUUAAUAUUCAUUAAUAAAAACAUAACGAUUUAAGAUUUUGUUAUAUUUUAUCUCUAAAGGAUUAUUAUAACUAUGGUAAAAAAAAUGCAUGAACAUCAUGUAGUAUUAACAAAAUAAAAAUUACGAAUUGAUAGCUUACAUAGCUUUUGGCUAUGGAUUAUUUUUAUCAUAACAAAAAUGUGUAAAUUUGUAUAUAUCUUUAGGCUAUGAAAUAUUCAUUAUUUAACUUCUAACUAUACAAUUUUGUUUUGUGUAACAUUUGGUUAUAUCAUUAUAAUUAAAAGAAAUUAGAAAUUACGUGUAAGUCAUUCUUUAUAUUUUUAUAACUUUAUAAUUUCUCAUAUAACCUUUGGCUAUACAAUUGUACAUAUUUUACAUAUUUUUUUAUAACUUCUAGUUGUGAUUUUUUUUCAUAAUUUUUGUCUAUAAAAAAAAUAUUUUCAAGUUUCUUCAUCGAAAAAAGGAUAAAUUAAAUAGAAAAUAAUACAAAAGUAGAAGUUUAUCACAUACCUUUUAGAGGAGAAAAAAGAUAUUUUAUGAGAAUAAGUUUGUCCUUUUAGUGUUUGAAUCUUAUACAAAAACUUAUAAUAAGAGUUUUCUUUUGGAGAGACUAGAAUUAGAGAAGAGAUAGAGUUCUAAAAUAACUUUGAGGUAUCCAUUUCAUUGACCCAAGUUUCCUAUUUAUAAGAGUUUGAAAAAACUAGGAUUAAUUAUAAUAUUUAAUUCUUUAUGGGGAAAAAGUAAAAAAUAAAAAAGGCUUUUAAUCAUUAAUUAAGAGUACUUGCUUAAAUACAAAAUUUCACAAAAAUUUAAACUAAAUUCCUUUAAAAAAGAAUAGAUAACUUGUUUUAAAAAAUAGUUAAACUAUGUUAAUUUUAUAUAAUUUGAGUGAGAAAUAAAUUUAUUAUAAAUUGACAAAGUUGUCAUUCACAAAAAGCAUCAAAUAUAUUUGAUUUUUUUUUUCAUUUUCAUUUUUCAUUUUUUUAAGGAAAAAUCAGAUUUAAAUUUUUUUCAUAAAUUGAUAGCUAAAAGAUAAAUUUACAAAAUUUCAAAUCCCCACAUGUUUCCAUUAUUUUUACCCCAUAAAUUAUCCCAUCCUUAAUAAGAUUGAAUUUUGCAAAUUAUUAUUGAUUACUCAUUCAAAAAUAAAAAUAAAUUACACUAAAAAUCAUAAAAUUUAAAUUAGAAAAAUAUUUAAUAUAAAUUUUAAAAAUUCAGCUUUAUAAAAAAUAAAAAUAAUUAUCAAUUCUAAUAAGAUUUUUUUAAUCAAAAUUCUAAAGCAUAAUUCACAUUCAUCUAAAUAUUUAUUAGAAUUAAUAAUUUUUAAAAAUAUAAAUUAAAAUUUGAUACCCCUUCGGAGAUAAAAUUCCAAAAAUCAAUGAAUUAAUUUAGAAAAGAAUACAUAUUUCAAUCUCAAAUCUUCAAAUCUAAACAUAUACUAACUUAGAAAAGUUCUAAUAGUUUCUAACAAGUCUAAGUGGGUAUUUGGUAAAUCAAUUUAAUAACUUAAUUCAAGUUAUUAAAUAAAUUAAAUAUAGUUGGUAAAAUAAUUUAAUGGUAUGACUUAAAGUAAAAAACAACUUUAAGUAAUAAGUAAAAAUAAUUAAUUUAUUCUUAAAUUCAUGUUUUCAUUUUAUCUUUUUACCCUCAUUUAUCUUAGUUCCACGAUUUAUUUUGCUAUUAUACAACUUCCAUCAUUACUUGAUCUCAUUUACCCUCAUUAUAAUUUAUGGGGGUAAGUAUAUUAAUUUGAUGAUUUAGAAUAAAUUUUAAAUUAAUUUUAUUAAAAAAUCUUAAUAUUUAAAGUAAAAAUUAAGUAAUAAGUUUUAAGUCAAUAACUUCAAUAUAAUUUUACUUAAAAUCAACUUAAGUCAUUGAGUAAUAAUUAUUGAGUUUUACCAAACACCCCAUAAUUAUACUUAUUAUCAUACUACCAAUUUCUUAUCAAUUACAUAAUUAUUUAUUAUAAAAUUUUAAUAUGUUAAUGAAUUAUGAUAUUUAAAUAUUUAAAAAUAUGUUGAUUGCAAACUAAUUUAACAAGAAAUAAAAUAAUAUUAUUUUGUAAAUAUUUUUGUAAUGUAAAAGAUAAGUAAUUUAAUAUUUUUUAACAUUUACUAAUAAUUAAAAUAUAAAAAAUUUAAAUAUUUAACAAUACUUAAUUUAUUCAAAUUUAAAACAAAUUUAGAUCUUAGAUAAAAAUACAAUCACCACUGAAAUUUUAAAUAUUUAAAAUACACAUAAAGUUUAAAUAUUUAUUUAAUUUCAGGAAUCUAAGAACUAAGGAAGGGACCAAUAGUGACUUGUCGAUCUAAAAGUAUGCAAGUUCUAUUUUCUUUUCCCUACAAUAUCAUUUUUUUCCUUGCAACAUCAUUUUUGUGGUGGAAAUUAUGCGGAGGACCAGUGUACUUAAUUGACAGGGCUGGCGAAAGCGAUGACGUGGAAUGAUCAAAGCAAUGAGAUGUCGUGGAAGCAACCAACUAUCGGGACGCUUCUAUAUUUUACCAUGCCAUAACAAAAGUUUCCAUAAUUCGCAAGUUCUGGAGAGAUACGAAACCGAGAUAGAAUAUAAUUUAGAAAGGAAAAUGAAAAUGAAAGCUGAGAUAAGGAAUGAGCAUCACCACCUCCUAGAAGUAUCCAAGGGUUUAACCCACUCUCUGAAAUUUGCUAUAAAUACUCAGCAAUUUCCCGUGUUGUUCAUCAAUACUUAAAAGAGUUUGAAUUUAUCAAUCACAUUAGUAGCAAUGGCAGACGAGAUUAUCGUGUUGGAUUUCCGGCCUAGCAUGUUUGGUAUGAGGGUCAGAGUUGCCCUGGCAGAGAAGGGUCUCAAGUAUGAAUAUAGAGAGGAGGACCUGUGGAACAAGAGCCCUUUGCUUCUUGAGAUGAACCCAGUUCAUAAGAAAAUCCCAGUUCUGAUCCACAAUGGAAAGCCCAUUUGUGAGUCUCUGAUAAUAGUUCAGUGUAUUGAUGAGGUUUGGUACGAUAAAUCUCUGCUUUUGCCCAGUGACCCAUACUAGAGAGCUCAGGCCAGGUUCUGGGCGGACUACAUAGACAAGAAGGUAUGCCUUUGCUGUUGAUUUAAAGCAUUCUUUUCCAUUGAUUCAUGGCGAUUGACUCAGAUUUUGAUUAUGGUGAGGGAUUUGUCCAAAAUGCUGGGUUUCUUCACACGUUCCCUUCUGAUAUUGAGUUUUGUGGGCUUUGGGGUUCCAAACUAGAACUUUUACUGAUUCUCCUUGCUGUUUGUUCAACAAGACUAUACUCUGCAUUUCUGAUAUGGGUUUAAAUUUCUUGUUUAUGUUGAAUACGAAUUCUGUUCGUUCCAUCAGGAAAAACAGAUCUCAAGAAUACCUUUUUUCCCCAAGCAAGGCGAAUACAUAAACCAGAUAUUUAAAGAAAGGUGUUUGGUUUUUUGUUAUCUUGCUGUUCAACAUCUUGCACAACAGUUGUUUUAAUAUAUGUUCUGUUUCUUUGAUCUCUUUCUUCUCAUUUUCUGAAACCCAAUUUGAGGGGAAAAACUUCAGCAAAUGAUACAUUCUUUCAGCUGAUUCUGAUCUUUUUUCUUCCACCGGCACUUCAUUUUAUUCUUAGCAAAUGAUAUUUCUAUGCGGAAGAGUCCUUAAUAAACUUGUCCAACUUUACAGAAUUUGAAACUUGAUGAAAUUCUCCAAAAAAAAUAAUCCUUCUCUCUUUGACUCCAUUAUUUUCCACAGCUCUAUGAACUUGGAAGGAAGAUAUGGUCAACCAAAGGAGAAGAGCAGGAAACAGCCAAGAAGGAAUUCAUAGAGUGCCUUAAGCUUUUGGAAGGAGAGCUUGGAGAGAAGCCUUACUUCGGUGGUGAAAAAAUUGGGUUUGUAGAUGUGGCUCUGGUGACCUUCUCUUGCUGGUUUUAUGCAUACGAGACCUUUGGCAACUUCAGCAUAGAGGCGGAGUGCCCCAAGUUGAUCGCUUGGACCAAGAGGUGCAUGGAAAGGGAGAGCGUGUCGUCUUCUCUUGCAGACCCCCACAAGGUCCAUGGCUUUGUCGUGGUGUUGAGAAAGAAGUUUGGUAUAGAGUAGAAGGGGCACAUGGGUCCUCUCUCGAAGACCCCGCAAGGUCCAUGACUUUGUCACGUGGAUGAGAAAGAAGUUUGGUAUUGAAUAAAAGGGAAAUAUCACGGUCUAUGCUCUAUUGAGUAGUGUUGUAUUGGUAAUGUAAGAGGAGUGUUUGCUUAAGUUUGCUAAGUGAUAUGGGUUUGCUGAGCUAUGUUGUUGGAAAUAAAUGUUUUGAAUUUGUUUUGGACUAGAGACGUGUUCCUGUAUUAAAGAAAUAAAAGUCUUUGACUACAUUUCCAUCGUGUCCACAUGAACAACUAUUAAGACAAAUUGGUUAAGACAUGCCCUAGAUAGAAAUAGAUAGAAGUGAGUCAUGAAAUGCACAUAUCUAACCUGCUCUUAUUACCAUAUUUUUUUUUUUUUAAAAAAAACUUUGAUAUGAGAAGUCAAAGAGCAUGUCGUUGUUGAUUUUUUUUUCUUUUUCACAAGAAUAUAUAUAUAUCUUCCAUAAAAUUAUCUUCAUGAAAAUUUUCUAUUUUCAAUUUUUUUUCUCUAUUCCAUUUUCUCAUAUUUAUUGAUUUUAAUUAUUUAUAGAUGUUUUAAAUAUAAAAUAAUAAUAUAAAAUAAAUAAUUAAUAAGAAAAAUUUUAAUAUAACAAUAAAUAAAUAAAAUGUUGAAAGUAAUAUUAUGGUAGGAAGGAUGUAUCACUCUUUUUUGGUUUAAACUAAGAUAUGUUACCAUCAUUUAUGUGCUAGAUGUCUUAUUAAUGGUGAAAUAACGUGAAUUCAAAGGGUGUUAAUGUAACAUUGAUCAACACAACCCUUGAAAAAAUGAAUACCACUCUUUUAUAAAUAAAAAACACCACUAAAUUGUAUUAAAAGUAUCAUUGUAGUGUGAAUGUUGUACUAUUCUUCUUUGGUUUAAGGUAUGUUUCCAUUUGUUAUGUGCUCAACGUAUUAGGUAAUGAUGAAAUAACGUGAAAUGAGUGAAUGUUAUUAUGCAACAACACCGAUCAACACAACCCUUAGAAAAAGAGGGUACCACUCAUUUAUGAAAAAUCUACUAUGUUAAAAGUACUACUAUGGUGGGAAGAAUGUAUCACUUGUCUUUAAGUUCUACCAUGGUAGGAAAAAUGUAUCACUCUUCUUUGGUUUACGGCGAGGUUUGUUACUAUUCAUUACAUGCUCAACGUCAUAUGUGAUGAGGAAAUAAUGUGAAUUGAGAUGGUGUUAUUUCACUAUAACACUGAUCAACACAAAUCCUUGGAAAAAAGGGUACUACUCUGUAGACAUAAAAAAAAUUAGUGGAUUAAAUUACCACUAAUUUGGUCUUCAAAAUGAAUAAAAAAAAAAAUAUAUAUCCUCUUAUGGAUAAGUUUCCUUAAUCUCCAACUAUAAAAAGGAUAAUAAUAAUAAUAAUAAGAAAAUUAUUAUUAUUAUUAUUAUUAUUAUUAUCUUGUUGAUAAAACCUCUUGGGAGAAGAAAAUUUGCUAAAAUCAAGGAACUAAAUCCCUUGAAUUAAGCAACUAAACUCCGAGAAUUUGAAAUUCAAAUUCCAUAUCUUCACCUAUAAAUAGAGGUGUCUUCUUUCAAGAAAGGAGAUGAAGAAAUUGAGAAAUAAAAAAAAAAUUCAGAAAGGAAAAUCCUAAGGAGAAAAUCCAAAGGCAAUUUUGUACAGGAAAAAAAGGUUUCAUAACAAAAGAAAAAGUUUCAUCAAAUUUCUCUGCAAGUUUGGUAAAUGGUAGAACUGCUAAACGCAUUCUUUGCCAUUUAACGAGUUCAUUCGGGAAUAAGCCACUUGUGACCCUCGAUUGAUCUUUGAAAUCAAGAAAACGUCAUCGUCGUCUUCCAAAGUGUGAUUAAGGCAAAAGAAUUAGGGGGGAAAAUUAUUUUGGAAAGAAUAUUAUUUUGAGAUUUUACCCACAAUAUUUUCAAUUUUAAUAAAUGUUUUGUUCGCAUUAUUUUCCUAUUUAUUUUGUUAAUUUGGUAGGACCAUUUAUGAAAUUUGUGGGUACAAAUUUCUAGCACGCCCAGCGAGACUUCUUUGCCUCUCGUCUCUUUUUAGAAGAUUGAUCUCUACUUCAUUGAUGACACCCAAAAGAACUCAAGUUGUGCAUGUAAACAAGGGCAAUGACAAGAUCAUCAUUGCACAAUCAACACAUGACGCCGCUAUGGGCCCCAUGACUCAUAGCAAAGCAAAAUCAACAUCUUCACUCUCAACAAAACAAAUAAGUGAGUUUGCUUGUUUGCUAAAAUCGGUAAGAACGUGUGAUGAGCACCAGCCACUCAUCACAUUGGUCUCUCUAGGGGCAAAGAGCCAUAGUCCUCGUAGUAGGGGAAAACUCACUUCAACACUACAGGACUUAGGAUAAAUCUCCUAGCUCUGUUAUCGAUUCUAACUCUAGCACCGGCUCAUACUCCGAGUCGCCAGCUGGAAUGUCAAAGGAGGAAAACUACUCCAAUCGUUUCGACUCUUUUACUUCUCCCUUCUCGAUGACUAUGCUGGUAAUGGCAACUGGCACUACAUUUGUAGAGGAACAAUUAGUAGAGAUGGCUCAUGGCAUCGCCAAACUCACCAAAAUGGUUGAGGAGAAGGAUAUGCAAAUAGCCUCCCUCAUAAAUAAGGUUGAGGCACAAGUACAAAAUAUGGGUGAGUCAAGUCAAGGACUCAACCACUUUCUGAAUGUUGCAUCUCUUCUCGAUGAUGCACCACAUGCGUAUAGGACAAUCCAAGUUGAGAGACAAAUGGCGGAAUCUGCCUCAAUGGCAUCAUUAUCUAUCCAACAACUUCAGUACAUGAUAACUAACACCAUUAGAGUGCAGUACAGUGGACCCUUACAGAGUACGCUCAUGUACUCAAAACGUUACACUAAGAGGAUUGAUAACCUACGUAUGCCUGUGGGUUAUCAACCUCCAAAAUUUCAAUCAUUUGCAAAAUUUCAAUCAUUUGAUUGGAAGGGAAAUCCAAAACAAUAUAUUGCCCAUUUCAUUGAAACUUGUAACAAUGCAGGUACAGAUGGUGACUUAUUAGUUAAACAAUUCGUCCGUUUUAUUCGAAGGAAUGCUUUCGAUUGGUACAUAGACCUUACACUUAAGUGUAUCGAUAAUUGAGACCAAAUGGAAUGUGAAUUCCUCAAUAGUUUCUAUAACACCCGACGAACUGUAAGCAUGAUGGAACUUACUAACACUAAGCAAUGGAAAGACAAGCCGAUUAUAAACUAUAUCAAUUAUUGACAUUCCUUAAGCCUUGACUACAAAGAUAGAUUAUCUGAGGUAUUGACCAUGGAAAUGUGCAUACAAGGAAUGCAUUGGGGUCUCCUAUACAUUCUCUAAGGGAUACAACCUCAUACAUUUGAAGAAUUAGCUACCAAAGCACAUGACAUAGAGCUCAACAUAGACAACCAUGGUUCUAAGAAGGACCUUACCAUUGAUCGAUAAAGAGAAAGACAUGAUGGGAAAAUGAGUGACAAGACCUCAAAGAAACCUAUUCAGGAGUCAAUGACAAUAAAUAUAACUCUUGUCAAAAUCUCAGCAAGAGAUAAAAAAAAGGAAGUAAAAGAGGUCAGACUAACCCAGGAAAAUAAGAUGUGUCAAUUCAUCUUGAAGGAAUUAGAGGAGAAGAAGUAUCCUUUUCCUGACUUUGAUGUGCCUAACAUGUUGGAAGACUUGCUCCAAAAAAAGGUUAUUAAGUUACUUGAGUGUAAGCAUCCAAAAAGAAUGGGUCGUGUUAAUGAUCCAAUCUACUAUCAUUACCAUCGAAUUGUUAGUCAUCCUAUGGAGAAAUGUUUCAUUUUAAAAGAUCUCAUAAUGAAACUUGCAAAGCAAAGAAGAAUUCAUUUAGAUCUGGAUGAAGUAGUAGAGUCAAAUCAUGCUAUAGUCACAUUUGAGUCAUUUGAUCCUGUUCCAUUACAUGUUCCACUUAAGAAACUAGGGACAUGUGGCAAUACUAUUCAAUGUGAGUCACCAAAACCAAAGCAAACAUAAGUGUCAUGUUAGGAUAGCCUUCUUCGCCUUUGCUCUGAUAAUAAAUCAAUGUCAUAUGACGAAGAAGGUUGGAUAUUGGUGACACGAAGAAGACUUUGCAAGAAGCAAGGGUCGCAUUCAUACCCUAACCUUCUUAGGAGGGAAUGACAUGAGUGGAAUACUCACCAACAUUUAAAGAAGAAAGAAAAAAAGAAUCUUAAAAGAAAACAAGCGAUUGUACAAAUAGACGACUUUUUGGUCCAGAAACUCAUCACCCCUAUCACCCUAGAGAAAUACUUCCCUCUAGGGUUCUUUGAUAAAAGGGUGGCAGUAUCAACUCAUAUGGUCUCUUGCUAAGAGACUUCAAAAGAAGAGGGGUUAAGUGAAGAUGAGGAAAACAUUCUUGGUGUUGAGUCAAGAAAAACUAAGGAAGAAGAGGGGGUUGUAGCAAGCCUACAACACCUACUCUCACUAUUUAGUAGCCACGAAAUGCUACAACUACCUAAUGAGAUACAAAAUGUGUUGAUUCAAGUACUUAAGGAUCCAACACUCUAUGCCACCAAAAUAAAGGGGGCAAAAAGACUUGAGGAUGAAAGCCACAAUUGUGCCAAAUGUUGUGCAGCCAUCAUUUUUACUAACGAAGACCUUCAGUUAGGGUCAAAACCACAUAAUCGACCCCUGUUUGUUACUAGGUACAUACGGGAACAAAAUAUCACUUGCAUUUUAAUUGAUGAAGGGUUUGGAAUAAAUAUCAUGCCUAAAGCAACAAUGAAAUGACUCAGGAUUGCUACAAAAGAACUAACUCAGAGUCGCCUAAUGAUCUAAGGCUUUAAUCAAGGGGGACAACGAGCUAUUGGUAUGAUUCACCUAGAGCUUGUUACAGGUGAAUUGAGUUCGAACACAUUGUUUCAUGUAAUCAUUGCAAAACAUUUUACAACUUAUUACUCGAGCGACCAUGACUUCAUGAGAAUGGGGUAAUUCUUUCGACACUAUACUAGUGUUUCAAAUUCUAUAGAGGAGGGGUAAAGGUAGUAUAGACUGAUACUAAGCCAUUUACAGAAGUCGAGUCUUAUUUUGUUGAUGCUAAAUUUUACAUAGAAAAUGAUGUUAUGCAGGAAGUCCUUCUUGCGAUUAUUCUCUCCACUGGGAAUGCUAAACUUAAGGAAAAAGUUGAGCUAUGUAAGUUGACAUCAGCAGGGAAAUUUCAUAACAAAUGAUGACUCAAAUAAAAAAAAAAGAGAAAUUUUCAAAAAAAUUGACAUUGGACUUGACAAUUCUCACUACUUUCCUAGUUUUUAGGUACAUCCCAAUAUCUCGACGAAGUGAGGGUCAACCAUUUUUCAUAGAAGACAAAAACAAAGUACAACCCUGAGGAUUGGAAAAUGGGGACCUUUAAGUCUUGAAAGAAGAUACGACCAUUCCUCUUCCAAACUUACAACUUAUCUCUAGGGAUGAAACACAAAAAUCCAACAAAACCUCAAGAGAUCAAACAAAGCAAGAAUUCUUUCCUGGUAAAAGAAUAAAUGAGGAGUUCAACCCUAAGACUUACAAGUUAUUAGCCAAGGCAAGGUAUUACUUCACUUCGUCAUCACGAUUAGGAGAACUUAGCCUCGAGACUACAGGUGAAAAGAUGCAUGACUUUAACGAAACUCAAAAAAAGUUGAAACAACAAGGGUAUGCAGUCAAACCUUCUAGUGCAGGUUUAGGGUUUGUACCUUUUGAGCCUAUCAAAAUUUUAGUUAAGACUAAGAAGACUAAGGCAAGUACACAACAUAUCAUUGUAGAAGACAUGGAGGAGAGUAGUGGGUCUAACUCUCCUUCUCGAAUUUCAAUAUUUGAUCGGAUUGAAGCUCUAAUUACAUGAGCUUCAGUGUUCACUAGGUUGGGCGAUUUUAACCAAGUAUAAUGUAAUUUAGCACAUAUUCCACAAAGGUCAAUACAACGAAGGAUUAAUACUCUACCCAAAAGUCACGACGACAAAAUCCCAAUAAGAAGUAGUGUAGUGAACUAAAUAAGAAUGCAAAAAUAAGAAGUUUAAUCCCAUCAAGGAUGAAACACCAUUCAACUUGGGAAAUUUGUACUAAUGGCUAGUUAAAAUUAAAAUGACAUACCAUCGUGAUCACCAAGCAGUCGGACGAGGGAUGCCCUAAAGAUGUUAAAUAAAGUUUGACACACAGUAACUACCAUAUUACAGUAGAAGUUGACUCUAAUUCAGAGUUUUUAGAAGAUGAACUAUGAGAAGCUCCUCAAGUAUUUGAGGACGGGGGGCAGGCCACUGUAGAUGAGUUAAAAGAGCUCAAUUUAGGUACAAAUGAGGACCCAAGGCCAAUUUAUGUAAGUAUGCUUUUAAGUCCUUCUGAAGAGAAAAGUUAUUUUGAAUUGUUACUCAAUUAUAAAGAUGUCUUUGCAUGGUCGUACAAAGAAAUGUCAGGUCUUGAUCCAAAAGUUGUAGUACAUUAACUCACGGUGAAACAUGGUGUCCGAUUGAUUAAGCAAGCCCAAAGACGAUUUUGACCAGAACUUGUUUCGCAAAUAGAAACGAAAAUUUUCAAAUUGAUUGAAGUUGGUUUUAUUAAGGAGGUAAAGUACCCGACAUGGAUUGCGAACAUUGUUCCAGUGAAGAAAAAGAAUGGGUAGAUCCGUGUCUGUGUAAAUUUUAGAGAUUUAAACAAUGCUUGCCCAAAAGAUGACUUCCCAUUACUAAUUAUUAAGCUUAUGGUUGAUGCAACUACAGGUCAUGGAACUUUAUCCUUCAUGGAUGGAUCAUUGGGGUAUAACCAAAUACAAAUGGUGCCAGGGGAUGAAGAACUUACUGCAUUUUGUACUCUAAAGGGUAUUUACUGUUACAAAGUGAUGCCUUUAAGACUAAAUAAUGCAGAUGCAACGUAUCAACAUGCCAUGCAGAAAAUAUUUGAUGACAUGCUUCAUAAGAAUGUCGAGUGCUAUGUUGAUGAACUGGUGGUCAAGUCUAAGAAGAGAGAAGACCACCUGCAAGAUCUUCGUAUGGUGUUUGACAGGUUAAGAAGGUACCAACUUAUGAACCUACUCAAAUGUGCUUUUGGUGUUACUUCUAGUAAGUUUCUAUUUUAUUGUUCGACACCGUGGCAUUGAAGUGGAUCAAUCUAAGAUCGCAACCAUUCGAGCUAUGCCAGAGCUGAGGAAUCUUUAAGAACUUAGAAGUCUUCAAGGACGUCUUACUUUUAUUCGACGAUUUAUUUCAAAUCUUGUAGGACGAUGUCAAUCCUUCAACCAACUUAUGAAGAAAGAUGUCCCAUUUGUUUGGGACAAAGCUUGUCAUAAUCCCUUUGAGAGAAUAAAAAAGUAUUUGGCUAAUCCACCAAUCUUAGGUGCUCUUAUGGCAGGGAAGCCAUUGAUACUCUACAUUGCCGCACAAAAAUGCUCUCUUGGAGCAUUGUUUGCACAACAAAACGAGGAGAACAAAGAAAAUACAUUGUAUUACUUAAGUCAAACUCUAAUGGGAUCAGAACUAAAUUACUCCCUAAUAGAGAAAACUUGUCUUGCUUUAAUCUUCUCGACAAAAAAGCUAAUACAUUACAUGCAGGCAUACACAGUACACUUAAUAGCACACGUUGAUCCCAUUAAGUAUGUGCUAUCAAAGCCAGUUAUUUCAAGACGAUUAGCAAGAUGGGGGUUGUUACUCACUGAGUAUGAAAUAAUCUACAUUCCUUAAAAGGUAAUCAAAGGACAACGCAGACUUCUUGGCAGAUCAUCCUAUCCUUGCAACAUGAAAAAUUUUAGAUGACUUCCCCGAUGAGGAGAUCUUUUAUGUUGAUGUUUUUCCUUCGUGAAUGAUGUUCAGGUCAGCACGUUAUGAUGGAACAGGUGCAGAUGUUGUAUUUGUCUCACAACAAAGAUAGAUACUACCAUAUUCAUUUGUUCUUAGUGAGAGAUGCUCUAACAACGUUGCUAAAUACCAAGCCUUAAUUAUUGAACUACAAAUAGCGAUUGAAAUGAAAAUCACAAGCUUAGAGAUAUGUGGGGAUUCUAAGUUGGUAAUCAAUCAACUUCUAGCCUUGUAUAAGGUUAAAAGUGAUGACUUAGUUCCUUACUUCCAAUAUGCUACCCAACUGAUGGAAAAGUUUGAGCGAACCUCUUUAGUUCAUAUUCCAUGAAAGAAAACUAAAUGGCAGAUGCUCUAGCUAAUCUAGUUGCAAGUUUGACACUGCUUAAGGACGAGACUAUACACAUCACUCUUUGCCAUAAGUGGGUACUGCCGCCAUUGCCACUAUUACAACAAGAAGAAGUAAACGCUACAUCGGUAUUUACUAUUGACAACGAAGAUUGGCGACAACCAUUAAUUGACUACUUAGAGCAUGUGAAGUUACUUGAUGAACUAAGGCAUUGAACAUAAAUACGACAUUGAGCUCCAUACUUCAUUUACUACAAAGAAACACUUUAUCGAUGCUCAUUCCAUGGAGUACUUCUUCGAUGCCUAGAAGGAGAAGAGACAAAUCAAGCAAUUGAAGAAGCUCAUUCUGAGAUCUAUAGGGCUCACCAAUCAGGGCCAAAACUUCAUUUUCGAAUCAAAAGGAUGGGAUACUAUUGGCCAACUAUGGUUAAGGAUUGUAUGGAAUAUGAAAAGAAGUGUCAAUCAUGCCAAUUCCACUCAAAUUUUAUACACAACCCCUUGAGCCACUCCAUCCUACAAUUGCGUCAUUGUAGACCCUCAAUUUUGUCCCUUUAGCACAUGUCUUUAAGUUCGUUUUCAGUGCUUCAAAAUAGUUCCUUGGUGGCCCAUGGCUACUCAUACCACUUACCUUUUUCUGAGUCACCUCGGAGAUUUUGGUGGAGGAAUUAUUUGAUCCUUUAUUGUGACCCUUGGCAGCCCUAACUUAGACUUAGACUUUUCUUGUUUUUUUUUUUUUUUUUUUAGGAUAGCUUUUAGAUACAUUUGGCCCAUUUGGACAUUUUUAGCGUGACUUGUAUGACUUGCAUGGUUACAUGGCUUUUGGGCUCGACUUUUUGUUUAUUGGUUUAUUUUUAUUUUAUUUCAUUUUAUUUAUUUUUACCGUUUCCUAAUUUAUUUACUUGCUUAUUUAUUCAUUCAAUGAUUUAACUUCAAGAUUUUCAUGUUUUUGCAAGGAAACUUACCAUUGGAGUUUAAGGAAGGUGGGACUCUCCUUGGAAGGUUUUGGAGGGGAAUUUGAAAUUGAGAAGAUUGCUUUUGAUUGGAAGAUUUAAAAAAAGGAAGAAAAGAAGAAAGGAAAUAGGAGAAUUUUCCUUUUUGGAAAGAAAUUUAGGUCUUGAGGGGUGAUAUAUAUAGGUGAGAAAAGGAAAAGAGGGGGAAGGAUUUUUUUUGGGGGUAGAGCACGCGUUGGAGGAUUGGGAGGAGAUUUGAGGAGGUUCUUUUUGGAGCAGCAGGCAUUGGAGGAAAAUUUGUCGGGGAAAAGAACAGAGGAAACGAAAAGAGCAAUUGCAACCAAGGCUGUCCAGGUAUGCACCUCGUUGCUUUUGGAAUUCUGACCUAUGUUUGAUUUUUUUCCACGUGAAUAUUUAAUGGUAUUGUUGAUUUUGUGUGGACGAAAGGGGCCACAAUUUGUUUUGUUGAGAUUGGUUGCUUGCUUGUUUGCCUUGUUUUGGUUUUGAUUGUCAUUGAUGUCUUCGGAAGCAUAUAACUCCAUGCCUGAAUGUGAUCAGAUUCUGUUCUUCAUUUAAAUCAUAUUCUGCAUUUGUCUCUCUGUUUUUAGCCCAUGGAUUAAUAUCUGAAGUGGGGGCUAUCCAUGUUUACUGAUCAACACCUUCUGCCAUUUCCUUCUCCAAGUUUUACUUCAAUUUUUUUUAUCUUUUAUCUGUAUUCUUUUCCUCGCAUGGUGUUCGAACCCUUGCUCUUGUAUUUGGGUAUACGUCGAGGAAUGAUGUAAGUGUCAAUAUGAGGGAUGAACUGUGCAACAAUCCCACUCAAAAAUAAUUGAUUCCGAGGUAUUGUAAUGGAUUGUGGAGACUGGAGGUAACGUCUUAUUGGCAUCAGAUUUGACCUUUCUAAUCCUAUGGGAUUCAAUGGCUCGUACAGAAUCGCAACUCCGGUGUUAUUUGCAAGCAUAGCUAAAUGGGUUAAAGCCAAGCUAAUAUUUUCUCUUGCUUCCGAAUGAUCGCGUUAUCAUUGGCCAACAUCACUUCUACCCUUUCCAAUUUUCCAAGCGCUUCUGACCGUAAGAAUAAUGGUCUCAGAGAAAGCAAUUUGACUUGUAAAACAGAGGGUUUCAGAGAGUGUCAGGAAGGUGAUUGAUUUGGGUAGCACUGAAAAAGGAUGGUUUGAACUAGGGUUUUGAAUCACGCCUUGAGUUAUUAGAGCAGUACGAAGAAUUGCGGGAUACCAGUGAUGGAUUGAUGGGUUCGGUGCCGAUUCUGGGUCGUAUUACAGAUUUGGGGCAGAGACGAUUGGUGAUGGCAAUGGGAUUAAUGCAAAUCAGGGAGAUGCUAUUUUUGAGGAAACGUAGUUCACGGGUUUUAGGAAUGUAGUUUCAGAAUUUUCAGAGAUUCUUGAUGUAUUGUGUUAGAAUAUUCUGAAACAGUUUCAGUAUACCGAAGGAUCCAAUACGGGCUUAGCAAUUACUAUAAGGAACAGAAAGAAGGAAAUUGAUGCGACUUCUGCGAACAAGUAAGUUCCAGAUACUUCGGUUGGAAGAACCUUCUCAAUAAGGUGAUCAAUCAGAGGAGGUAUCUUGCACAGUAGACCUUUCUGAUUCUUUAUGUUAUCAACUUGAUCUUGUCUCUUUUGUCGCAUAUGUCAAUUCUGCUCAUUUAUGGAAUUCAAAAUCCUCAUUGUUGUUGCCUGAAAAAGAAAUUACGGCAAUUGGAGAAGACAAUCAGUCUGACCCUUUUUGUUGAAAAUUUUGUUUUGGAAAGAUUUUCUAUUUAAACCUCCCUGCGGGUACUAUUCGAUGAAGUCUUUGGUAAUAAAUUUCAGGAUGCUAUUGAAUUGAUAAGUAUGUAGCCAGUUGCUUCUAAUUUAGCAGCCUGGAAGAGAAUGCGAGUUGUUGAAUUCAUGCACAUGCGAUAUGCUCUGGAAUCUGUGGUGCUUGCAGUUGGAGCUAUGGAAAGAAGUACAUCUUAUCAUCUACUAUUGGUGAGAGAUAUAUUGUUCUUGCAAUGAAGCACCCUGCUGUCUUCUUAGAUAGCAGGUACAUUGACAAUGGGGAUAAGGAUAAGAAGACUUAUACGUCUUCUUAGAAUAUGGAGGAUUCACUCAAUACAAAAGUCACUCUUUUCGUCUCUGGAAUUGAGAAACCACAGUUUAGAGGAUGGAAUUAAAGUUUUUAUGCCCCAAGUUGCAGUAGCAGUUCUGGUAAUACUCAAACUCAGAGCAUCACGGGGUAUGACAGGAUGGCUGGAAUGGUGAUUGGAAGGCUCCUGGCGUCCAGAGAUUCCCUAAGUAGCAGUGGAAGUUUACUACUGGUGUAGCCAUGAUUGAAGUUACAGCUCCAUGUGUAUAUGCUAUCAAAAGAAGAAGGAUACGAGACUCUGAUUUUCCAUACCACUGGAAUGGGUGGAAGGGCUAUGGAGGAUCUGAUCAGAAGGGGAUUUAUACGAUGUGUUCUGGACAUAACAACAACAGAGGUUGCUGAUUAUGUAGUUGGAGGUGUUAUGGCUUGUGACAAUUCCCACCUUGACGUCAUGAAGAUAAGAAAUUUGUCGGCUUUGUAGCAAACGAACUAAACGAAACAGCAUCAAAGGUAAUGUUGACCCGAAUGAUUAGGCUCAUAUUCAGAAAGACAGAAUUUGAUCCAGACUCGAUUUCCUCUGGUUCUGCUACAAAUAAAGAAGUUGAAUUUCUGGACUGCACAAGGACCUUUUAGUUCUGAUUUUUCUUUAGGUGCCAAUCUUACCACAAUGGAAGAUGUCCAGAAUAGUUUUAAUGCAACGCAACUUAGGCUUUGUGGAAGGUUAAGCAAUGUUGAUGGCUAUAUAAUGCCGAUCAUCUUCCCAAGUGUUAUUCUCUGUGGCUGAGUUGUUUUCUGAAGCUGAAACAUAAAGACCCUCUCAAUAAGGCCGCCUCUAUGAAUCUUGCUCAGCAUGCACUGAUCAGCAAUUUCUGGUGAGAUCUCAGCCAGUUCCAGCUGAUAAGCAGGUGAACCAGGCAGGAAGGACCAAUUGGCAAACACUCUUGGGCUUUCCUGGUGGGCAUGAAACCCAGAAUUGCAAUGGGGUAGUUCAGAAUCUGAAUCUAGUUCGACUUGGAGGUCUGAGUCAGACAUUAUAUAAUUAGGAUGGCAAAGAAGACUCCUUACCUACAGCGGCCCAAAUUUAUUAAGUCGUCCUUUGACACUAAAGAGAUCACCGGUUUGCCCUUGAUAAAUUAAUGUCAUCAUGAGCAGAUUUUGUUCCUAUUCUUUAGCUGAGAAUCAAAUGCAUCACACCAUCGAACAGUUGAAAUCUUUGAGUAGGAGCAGAGAAUGAUGCAGAACAGAGAAAACAAUGACCCAGGUCCAACAGGUCUCAUGAGGUUUGAUGGUGAGAUCCGUUCAGCAAUGUUGGGAAGCAACUGGAAAUAUGGGCCUCAUGCUGCUGCAACUCACUUAGACUACAUGGUUGAGUUUACAGUCACUGUGCCAAUUUUGAGUCUUGCUGGAACAAUGGAUAACUUACCAGCUGGUGAACCAUGGCUGCAGAAACUAAAAGCGGAUUGAGCAGGAUGCAACUACUCUCAUUCCAGGAAACAAAGAACUGAAACCACACGAGUAGGACCCUUUGAACAAAAAUGCUGGUAUCAAUACACAUCCUACGUGCCCAUCUAUUAUUCAAUCCAAUUCUGAAGUCCCAGUCAUGUCACCUAGAAAAAGCAAAGGAGAAAUUCAAAGGGAACCCUUGGGCUUGAAAGGAAAGGUUCUUAGUCUUGGAAAGGUUCAGAAAAGCCGGAAGGUGUAGAAAGAAUUCAAGCAGCCACAGAAGGCUUCCUCCAAGCUGAUAGUACCACCUAGCACAGGUUUCGGUACCUUAACCUAUGGAUAUAGUUUGCUCUUGAGAGCGUUCCAUACAUUCGAAACGGCAUCAAUAAGUCACUACUUUUGGAUCAGCACUUGGAACUGGAUCUUAGUACUGUCAUGCUUGGCUGUUGCUUUUGGUUUUAGAAACAUGAACUGCUUAGGUAACGCAUCUGGCUUGGCAGUUAUAAUUAUAAUGUCAGUCACCACCUGCCUAAUGUCUCUGGUUGCUGUACUGUGCCGACACCAGAAUGUCUCCUCUAUAAUUGGCUCCAUGUUCUUCAUUGGCGUAAUUGAAGCUUUCUAUUUCUCAGCAUGGAUCUCUAAGCCACUCCUGAGCAUGCGUGUAAGAAUGGAUAGCAGGGCAGAUUUUCAGGUUCCUGGUCAGAGUGGAAUAAUGGGACAGCCAAAUGAAGACGAAUUCCCCAUGAACUUCCAAAAAUAGACUUAAUGAUAAGAAGAGAGGUGAAAAAGAAUUCAGUGGCUAUUCGAGAUGACUUUUAUGGAUGAAUUCGGUAGAGAAUUGAAAAGAAUUCAAGUGGUUGCAUAUGUGGGUGAGAUUCAAUAGCGUUAACGGAUACUCUUGAUGGCUGAAAUUUAAAAGAAAUGAUAGACUACAUAAGUGAGGUGAUUGAAUUUUAUAAAUAUGAUUAUGGGUUUUGAAUUACAUCGAGAUCAGCACUUGUUGAGAUUAUCAUAUUUAUGCUGGUAACAUUGCAAUCAUAUACGUUUUCAUCCCAAGAGUUUGAUCAUGCGUCAAAAUAUCUAGAAGCAGAGCAAAUUGAAACCUUUUCAAAAUCAGCAGUGGACAGAUUCUGUCCUAAAACACUUGAAGUUGGAGCAUACUGAGGCAGUUUAGUCUUCUGAAAUCCAUACCUAGUUUCCUGAUGAUUCAAGUUCUUUAUUUGACUUUUCCUUUAUAGAGAAAGCUCCUAGUGGCAUUGACCAGCCAGGAAUUCACCAUAUGCUUCAUCAACAAUAAUGUGCAAUUCAGGAAAAACGAGGUUGGAUGGUCAGAAGAAGACUUUGAAACUAGUUCAGGAUCUCAAUCUAGUGAAUCUGAUUUCUCCAGUUUCAGUCCAGAUGAGCUUCUGCAGUUAAUUGGUGAUGCAUCAGUUAUGGGAAAGGUCCUUCAUCAACUAGCACUUCACCUUUAUAAGAAUCCAUCAUGAUUCUCAGCACUUGCUGUUGUCUAUUUUCUGACAUGUAUUAAGCAAAGAUUGGUCUGAAGAGAGAUAAUACAUCCUCUAUCUAGUACACAGAUUCAGACGCUGAAUUCCGUGAUUAUGUUAGUGAGGUCACGAGGGAAGUGUGUAGGCAUCACUAUGCAAAGUGCCUUGAAGUUGUAUCAAUUCGUUUGCUGGAUAAUCGCCCACAAAUUAGCAAAAAUCAUCUUUCAAAAUAUAUGAAGUAUCCUACGUUUAUAGGAGAGCAAUUGAUCAUUCAACACCAAAUUGUUAUCUUCAGGGAAAUGUUGAUAUGAUUGGAGGUGCAAUAGCAUUGACUUGAGAUAGUCAACAGUAUGUGAUCACAGAGUUAGGAUAUUACAACAAGAAGAGUCCAAUGGGCUUAAAUCUUUUUGACAGAAAUUCUCAUCUAUCUUGGACUUUAAGCUAGCGUCUGAUGAAAAACAUCAGAAUCUUCACCCUAUUCUAUGAUAGAUGCAUGCAUUGCAGUAUGCUCGAGAUCAUUGUAGGCCUUUAUCCGAGAAGAAACAGAAUAGAGUGAACCAGGUGUUGAAUAAAGCCCGUGAUGAUGCUGAAAGUAGUGCCUAGAAGAACUCGUUAGAAAGUAACAAAGGCAAUGUCCUCUUUCCUCUCCUCUGAUGUGCCUUCUCCUGUUUGGAGUAUACCAAUAAUUCGGAAACUGCACUCUUUAUCUGUGACUUUACUUGAUGGAAACAAAGGGCAAGAUGGGAAGCCUCACAAGGAAGAGAAGCCUCAAAGUCUAUAUGAGAAUUUAGAAGAUUCUUUUGCCACAAAGGCAGCAGAAGAAAUAUGCUUGCAACAGAAAGAACUUAGGGUAUUUGAAAUUUCUGGAUUGGUGCUGCUCAAUGAGAAUAUACAGAAAAUCAAUCCAAAUGAACCACUAAAAGAAGAAUGCACUACUCUAGGUGAAGUAUCAUGGUUAGAGAAUCACAGAAACGCGUCUGCAAUAAAACGCUCAGAUUCUCCAAUAGAAAGUGACAGAACCAUGAAGCUGCCAGUAGAGGUGCCUGAGGGAGCUGAGGAACCUGCAGAAGAGUAUGAAAACAACAAAGAACUGAUCAUAGAGAAAGAGAGAGACAUCAAGGAAUUUCCAGCCGUGUCCAUUGAAGUUGAAUAGGUUAAAUAGGAACGGCAUUCUGAGACAAUACUCGCUGAAAAUCCUAGAAUGACAGAUUCUGAAGUGCAGACUAAAAAUGUGAACCUAUAGGAUUGUGGAAGACUUCAGCAAAGACUCUAAAAGAUUUCCCAUCACAAAAGCAAUGGAAGCAGAGAUGCUACAGAAACAGAGUGGUAAAAGGAAAGUGGAUGUCUCUGGUUCGGUAUCUGAAAUAUCAAAAGAAAUUAAUAAGGAGGUCAUAGAAGAUGCCAGCACUUGCUCUAACAAUAUUGAUGCUGCAUCCGAAGAGGGGAAAACAGAAGAGUCAAGCUUGUAGGAAACUCAACUGAAUGACAAAUACAAAAAGAUCAUUAAGACUAGCUCAGAAGAUAAGACACUAUAAGCAAAUACCACAAAUGAAACUAGUCCACAGGCUGAAGAGGUUGACAGCAUGAAGCUUGAAGAAACUUUUGAAUUGAUGUCUCAACUUCCAGUUAAGGCAUGUGAGAACACAAACAAGGAGAGUGAAACAGUGGAAAGGUCGAUUGAUAAUGUGCUGAAGAAACCGAUUAAAUCUUCUGGUAUAGUAUCAGAAUCCCAAGAACAAUGUGCUGAAGAAACUGAUUAGACCCUUAAGCUCUUCUCUAGCAGGGUCUUUGAUAUCAAAUGCCUGUCAGAACCCCCAUUCAGUAAACUGCUUCAAUUUGAGCUCAGGAAUCCAAGGAAGACACGGAUAAGGGAAAGUUGAUUACGCCAGAAUCUGUAUUUCUCAAGAGCAACUCAAGUUUACUGGAACUCUUCACCCUUCAUUGGAAUUCAAUAAAACUUUGAACAACAGAGAGCCACAGAAAAGUACUAAAGGAGGGCAGAAUGUAUUUUGGGAUUCAACAUCAGCAGGAUAGUCUCAAAUCUUAUUCCCAGGCUCCACUCCAUCAUGGCAACCUUGCUAUACACACCCUCUCCUCUAUUUACUUUUGUGAUUGGGAACUUACUAUUUUAAGUUGAAUUUUUGAACCAUUGUUCAACUAAACAUUCCCAGCUUUGAAAAAUCCAUCUUAGGAGCAUCUAGGUAUAAAAUCCCAAUUUUAACAUGCUAUUUGCUGCCAUUUUCCUCCGGGCAUGCACUUUCACUAUUUUAUCCGAUUUUUAACUAUUUUCAUGAUUUUCUCGAUUUUCUCAAGCAUGAACAAACUUCAUGAUUCCAAACAAUGGAAUUAAUAGAAUAAAUUCAUGCAAAAGUAAUCAGGGCAUUGGGGGGAGGCCCGACAUUCAUAAUAUUCUCUUCAAUAGUGUCUUGUUUGAUAUUUGAUUGAUUGUGCUUCCUCUUUGUGGUAUAUAUGAGAUUAUUUUGAAUUAGUUGUUGAGUUAAUUUUGUUUCCCAUAGAGGAUUAUUAACUCGCUAAUCAGGUACGCUCUUUCUACCACCACACUUUCCAAAAUUUCAUGAAUAUGAGACAUAACCAUAUUUGAUGCCAUAAUUGAUUGCUUUGAUGCUUGUUGGAUCGUCUUUGAUGAAAAUACAUAUUAUGUGUCAUAUUUCCAAACUAAUCUCUCAUGUUUUGUGAUAGUGUUUGAGAAGCCGUUCAGGUACGCACUUCGACUCUCUCUUAUGGUUGGUUUUCUUAUUAGGCAUGCAAUAUUUGAAAUCACCUAGCCUACUCAGGUAUCCAUAAUUAACUGAUUAAUGGCCACGCUUCCCUUAACUUAGUCAGUAGAGACCUCUUUAGGGCUUAGAGGGGUGCUACCUCCUAGAGGUACCUUCCCAAUAAGUAACCUGAUCCCCGAACCAAGACUUGGGUUUUCAAAGACACGCUUUUCCAAAAAUUAUGGAGUCAUUUUUUUAGGGUUUUAUUUCUUGUUUUAUUUUCCCUUCAAAAAUAAAAAUAAAAUAAGUGGCGACUCCAACUUUUUCAAAAAUCAAUUUUUCACAAUAAAAAGCGAGUCUCGUCGAUCGAGUGGGGACGCACGUGAAAAAUGCGGGUCCACAGUCAUGGCCAUUUGAUGCAUGGGGACUUGACGUGGUCAGACCCAUUACUCUUAAAUCCUUUGUUGGACAUGCUUACAUAUUGCAGCAACAUAUUAUUUUUCUAAAUGGGCAAAAGUUGUUCCACUUAAAGAAGUGAAUAAAGAAAAUGUAGUGAACUUCAUUCGAAGUAAUAUUAUCUAUCGGUAUAGGGUACCAUGAUAUAUAAUCACUGACAAUGGGAAACCCUUCUAUAGCAAAUUGAUGAUCAAUCUUUGUGAGAGGUUUAGUUUCAAACAACACAAUUCAUCAAUGUACAAUGCACCGACCAAUGGUCUCACAGAAGCAUUCAACAAGACUCUUUGCAACUUAUUGAAGAAAAUUGUUGAUAAUUCAAAGAGGGAUUGACAUGAAUGAGUAGGAGAAGCACUUUAGGCAUAUCAAACAACAUAUCGAACGCCUACACAAGCAACCCUUUAUUCCCUUGUUUAUGGUGUAGAAGUUGUAUUGCCCCUUGAGCGUCAGAUCCUUUCAUUAAGGAUUUCUAUACAUGAAGGACUAACUAAUGAAGAUAAUGCCAAGUUACAUCUUCAAGAGUUAGAAGCACUAGACGAAAAGUGACUCGAAGCCCAACAACACUUAGAGUAUUAUCAAGCACACCUUUCAAAAGCUUUAAAAAAAAAAGGUUUGUCUUCGGUCUUUUCAAGUCGGUGAUCUAGUUCUUGCCAUUCGUAGACCCAUUAUCACCACACAUAAGACUAGGAGUAAAUUUACAUCAAAAUGGGAUGGACCUUAUGUGGUGCAAGAAGUCUACACCAAUGGUGCUUAUAAGAUCGUCACUGAAGACGGAUUAAGAAUUGGCCCUAUCAAUGGAAAAUUCUUAAAGCGUUAUUAUGCUUGAGUCACACUACACCCUUAGCUUGCAUGAGCAUAAAUUAUGUCUGGAGCACCAAAAAAAAAAUAAAAAAAUCCGCUAAGUCGAAAACCUAAAAGGACGCCUUAGGUAAAAAUUAGGACAUAUGCUCACAAGAUUAAAAUUUUCUUUUAGCCUUGGCAAAAGUUAGAGCAUGAAAAAAAAAGGUGCUGCAUUUGACUUGAUCCUCUCUCUUUGAAAGGUAUGUAAGCAACUUGGGGAAACCACCUAAGUUCACUCACUACCAAAAAAAAAAAAAAAGGUCUCAUUUUUAUUAAUAAAUAAAUCUGACUAACAAAUGCUAGACUUUAUUACAUCUUAAUAAAAAAAAAUGAAUGAAAGCAAAAAAAAAAAGGGAGCCAAAACUAAGUAAAAAGGUACAAUGAUCACAUCCACACCAAGCAUGCAAGCUCGUCACGUUGAGUCCUUAAGGCUUCUUGAAGUGUCUCUAAAGUUUUGACAUCAACAUCAGUAAGCACAAGGGUUUGGGCGAUAAUGACAUGUUAUUUCCUCAAACGAGAAACAUCAUUAUGUUUAUUGGCUAUAAUCUCAUCAAUCUCCAAGAUUAAGUUAUGAAUGUGCUCUUUUUGUUUACCUAGUUGCUUAAAUUCCUUCUUAAGUGCUUCCUAUUUAGCAUCGAGAGUAGCUAAGUCUACCUUUAAUGAUUGACGAUGGUUUUCCUAUAUACACUUAGAGUUUAAAGCAUCCACAAUCUGAGAUGCAAUAAUAGCUAAACGUUCGCUUUGUACUUCUAGAGAUAUAUUUAUAGAAUGGGUGCGUCACAUUGCAUUGAGGUGAUCUACACUUUCCAUGUACUUCUCAAUCUGAGACUUUAAUGGUGAAGGGUUCACUCCAAUCUUUGUGAUAACAUUGAAAAGCUCAUCAAUUUUUCCUCUUAAUAAUGGGAGACAUUUAUUUGGAAAUUUUAAUAAUCAUCACCUUAGUGCCUUCUCCUAUCAUAAGUGCUUCUUGGCGUUAGGCAUUAAGGAUGAUUUGUUUGACGUCGAAUGUGUGAAUGGAAGUAGAAGGAGCAACCACGGUAGGACAUGUAGAUUGUUGUUCAGUAAUUAAACCUAUAAAUGCUAAAAUUGUUAAUUCAUCAUAUGUUGUAUCUCUAAUUGUGGUCUUUUGACCUCGAGAUUCAAUCAGAACAUCACUUAAGAUGUUAGUAAUACCUUUAUCACCCAAAUAAGAAUGAGACAAAGGUAAUGGGAUGAUAGAGUGAUUAUCUUGUUGUAUGGUCAAGGUAAAGGGUGCUGACUCCCUAAUAGCAAUAGUACUUUCGAACUGAUCCUUAGGAGAGGACUCAUCCCCUUCAUUGACAAAUUGGUUGUCACCCGCCACCUAAGGCAAAUAAUUAUUUUUGUUAGUAUCAAUGCAAAAAAAAAAAAAAAAAAACCUUUUCACCAUCAAGUUCCAUCGCUUGAGUAGAAGUUAGGACGUCAGCAAAGAAGACAUUUACAUCAAGAUGAUAAGAGUUAGUCUCAUCAUAGUACAUAGGGUUGGGUCUAAUUUUUUUCCAUUUGAAGUAACAUUCACUUGUAUCUUCAAAGUUUUUGUUUGAUACAUAAAGACCCUGUGCAUUGUUAUGUUGCUUAAAAGUCUUGUGACAGUGAGUAUUACCACCGUUGAAAAUAGUUUCCUCAUGCUCUGAGUGUGUGGAGGUAUUAGUUUGAUGUCCACCCAUUGAGCGCUUAGAAGAAGCUCUUGAAUCAUCAGGUAAAUCAUCAAAAUCCUUCUCAACAUUGUCUCUAAUAUUCCCCUUAGUAGAAACACUUAAGUCAACCUUGCGCGUUCUACUCUCUAAAGAUCUAGAGGGUAUUUGCCAAGAAGAAUUAGGAGGGGGCUCCAUACAAGUAGUAGUAAGAAUUUCUUUAUCAGGAUUACGUACUCUGAUCCACCAAUCCGCAUAAGCCAAUCUGGUAUAGUAACUUUGGAGUAGGUACCAAGCCUAGUACAUGACUGCCAAUGUUGAUACACCGCCUUUAAAGUUCUAGUGUGAAAAAUCUCUAGCGAACUCUCCGGAAGGUCUUGAAGAUAUACAAACUGCCUAGAAAACCGAUGAGGAUAAUACAGUUGGAUUACCCAAUGAUUACCUUGUCGCAAAGAUAAAUAGUUAGAGUGAAGACUUAUGAGAUAAGAAGCUUUGGUAACACUAAUAGAUUCAUUAUCAGUCCAGUGCACAUGCCUCUUGUGGCGCAAUGCCAAGUGGUCUAGCUUUACGCCUUUGCAAGACAUUAUCAAAGCCUAAGCUUGCAAAUCAUCAAAACACUUAACAAAAAACUCGCCAGUGUAAUAAGUCAUCCGUGGGGGAUGGCUCCAAGAAGGAGAAAUGAAAUGGGUAUCGAAAUAUUCAUUUAACCAUCCGUAUAAGUAAUGAAUAGGGAAAAUAGAUGCAUUAGUCCCAGGCUUUGAAGAAUAAGUGAUUUUAUUUAAGCUGUUGUAAAUACUUCCUAACACCAAAACAACAAGGCUAAAUGUCUCACCUUGAGCCAUUUUACUAGCUACCUUGAAGACUUUAGGAUGAAUCAAAUUGACACCUCCCAAGGAAGAACGAACUUGUAUAACCAACAUGCUAAGAAAGCGCCUAAGUAUCCUUCACAUCUGCCUCAGCUAUGCCAAGGUUGUAAAAAAUUUCCAUCUCUGACUGAAUACGAGAUUUAAUAGGAUCAAUUUCCCCAGAGGGGUUAUGAGUCUCCUUAGGCCUUUACGCCUUAUUCCUUGUACUUUUAUUUGGAAGUUUUGCAUACUUCAUGGAGCCUUUAUACCAAAAUGACACCCAAGAGGCUAACUUGACUGAAGACUUCCCUUUCGUGUUAGAGCAAAUUCGAUGAUAUGCAAGGAAUAAGUUUUGACAACUUGGUGGGAGUGAGGGCUUUGUCACAUCAUUAGAUAACUCUUCCAUGCUCGGUACCAUCUCAUCAUAAAAAGAUCCAAUGAUGGGUAGUCCAACAAUAUGAUACAAGUCCCAAAGAGAGAUGGAAACCUCUCUAAUGGAAGUAUGCAAGGUGUUAGUGGUAGGACACCAACGUUCACAAAAGGCCCUAAUCACAGAGGCAUGACAAUCAUAGCUGAAUAAGGACGCAAAAAUAGCUUCAUAAAGCUUACAUCCUUUAAGAAAUGGUCCAUGCCGGUCCAAUACCUCCUCUACCCAUUCCCAAUAUCCUUCGAUAAAGAAAUAUUCCCUUAGUACUUUGAAUGAACUUCCCCAUUUAGCUUCUCCGUCAUGAACACAAGAACCAAACUAUCCAAAUUCAUCAUGAACUUUAGUAGUAGUUGGGUGAGAGGAAUUCAACAACAGAACAUCAGAAACAAGUUUCACCUUAUUGAGUUUUGAAUUGCCGAUAUUUGUAAGCUUGCAAGAUGCAACUCGGGACAAGGAAGAAAUGUGUAAUGGGUCCUUUGUCACUGGUACUGACAAAGAUUGAAGGUCAGUAAGUGACUUAUGCACUGACAAGGUAGUCCCCUCCUCAAAAUCUUCACUAUCAUCCUCAAGAAUAGUUACAAUCUUCUAUUUGAAACAUUUGAAGAACGCCAUCCUACAUAAAAAGGAAAAAGAAGGUAGAGAGAGAGAUAAAUAAAACAUGGGUAUAAGUUUUUAGAUACCACUAUGCAUUUAAGUCAGAUCAAUUCACAUGAGUGAAGACCUUAGCACUUAAGUCAUAUAAAGUGUUGAAAGUACAAUACCGCAUAGCAUCAGGGCCAUAACUUGUUUGCAUAGAUACCGAGUAUUAUUCUAGUUUUAAUUAAAUGUUAAAACUUGAACACAACUAUGCAUUCAAGUCAAGACAAUUUGCAUAGGUGAAGACUUUAGCACAUAAGUGUUGAAAAUACAACACCGCAUAACAUUAGGGCCAUAACUUGUCUACAUAGAUAACAAGUAUUAUUAUGGUUUUAAUUAAAUAUUAAAACUUGAACACCACUAUGCAUUCAAGUCAAUCCAAUUUGCAUGGGUGAAGACUUUAGCACAUAAGUGCUAAAAAUACGACACCGCUUCGCGUCAAGGCUACGAAUUGAUUACAUGAGGGUCAAACUUUAAAUAUUCAUAUGUUUUUUUAUUUUUUAUUUUUAUUUAUUUUUUAUUUUUUAUUUUAUGGAUAUUUAAGUUUAUUAAAAAUUUCCCUCAAGUACUAAGGUAAUUUAAAAAUAAAUAAAUAAAUAAAAUUAAAUUACCUGAAAUCAAAUUCGUCUCUACGAAUAAUGGAGGCUAACAUGUGUUCGAAAAAGGUGAAUCUUUUUCUUCCUUGACAAAAAAAAAAUGAAUAAAAAGAUCACGUGUCAACAUAUAUAUAUAUAUAUCCAUCCAUUUUUUCAGGAGAUCACGUGAAUGGAUUUUAUAUAUAUAUACAUAUAUUAAAUCCUCAUCCUUACAUCAAUAUAUAGAUAUAUAGCCUAGUGAUGACGUCUCCCAAGGCAACCAACAUUGAGGCUCUGUCCCCAUUGACUUCGACAUACACCCACCAAGCUCCAAAAUAUAUAUAUGCAUUUAAAAAAAAAAUACUUACAGGUUUGAAGAGGUGAAGACUUCUUACGGUAAUUCAAGUCAAGUUUCUUAAAAUUGGGUUGAAAAUCACCCAAAAAUUCAAAAAAAAUAAAAGAAUAUGAAAGGAUUCAAGUCGGGUUUCUCAAGUUGGGUCAAAGAACACUCAAAGAUCAAAAAAGCUCUUUGAAAAAGUUCAAGUCAAAUUUCUUAGCUAUUGUCCCUUUUAUAUAUAAAAAAAACGUAUAUGGGGAUGACAAAUUGGAAGAUGAUUGAAAGUGUAAAGUAAGAAGGAAAACAAAUUGGAAGAGGAUUCAAAGUGUAAAGCAAAAAAGGAAAACAAAGUGGAGUUUGGAAAAAAGUGGGAAAGAAAUAUUUUUUUUGGAAAAAAAAAAAACUUCAAGACUCACCCCAUCCACAUGACAAUGCAUAUAUGUGAUGCGUCUUGAAGUGGGGGUAUUUGUAGACAUAAAAAAAAUUAGUGGAUUAAAUUACCACUAAUUUUGUUUUCAAAAUGAAUAAAAAAAAUCCUCUUAUGGAUAAGUUUCUCUAAUCUCCAACUAUAGAAAGGAUAAUAAUAACAAUAAAAAAACUAUUAUUAUUAUUAUUAUUAUUAUUAUUAUUAUUAUUAUUAUCUUGUUGGUAAAACCUUCCAGGAUUUUUUUUUUCUAAAAUCAAGGAACUAAAUCCUUUAAAUUAAGCAACUAAACUCUGAGAAUUUGAAAUUCAAAUUUUAUAUCUUCACCUAUAAAUAGAGGUGUCUUUUUUCAAGAAAGGAGGGGAAGAAAUCGAGAAAAAAAAAUCCAGAAAGGAAAAUCUUAAGGAGGAAAUCCAAAGGAAACUUUGUAUGGGAAAAGGGGCUUCACAACAAAAGAAAAAGCUUCAUCAAAUUUCUCUGCAAGUUCGGUACAUGGUAGAACUGCUAAACACGCUCACCGCUAUUUAACGAGUUCAUUAAGGAAUAAGCCACUUGUGGCCCUCAAUUGAUCUUCGAAAUUAAGAAAAUGUCAUCGUUGUUUUCCAAAGUGUGAUCAAGAUGAAAGAAUCAGAGGGAUAAUAUUUUUUUGGAAAUAAUAUUAUUUUUGAGAUUGUACCCACAAUAUUUUUAAUUUUAAUAAAUAUUUUGUUUGCAUUAUUUUCCUAUUUGUUUUGCUAAUUUUGUAGGACCAUUUACGAAAUUUAUGUGUACAUACUCUUUUAUGAACAAGGUAGUGUAGAAAAAGUGUAACACUUUUUUUUUUAACUCAGGUAACUCAAGUAAUAUAUCAUUUCUACCAUAGUGAAUCCAUUCUUCUUCUUUAGCGUAUAAAAAGUGACUCCGUUCUUCUUUAGCACAUUAACUUGAAUACGCAACUCAAGUAAUAUAUCAUUUCUACCAUAGUACUUUUAGCAUUUUAGUGGUAUUUUUUUUCUCAUAAAAAUGUGUACCCUUUGAAUAAGCAACCUUUGAGGUGCACAACUUAAUGUUUUAAGAGGGUGCACUAUUUUUUCCUAGCGCAUUUGAAAUGUGUACAACUUCACUAUGCAAAAAAACAUUAUUUUUUAAUAAAAUUAAGAUCAAAUUAAUAUAAAUGAUUAAAUACAAUUUUUAUGAAAAAAAUAUAUUUUAUUUUUUAUUUAUAUAAAUAAAAAUAAAAAAUUUAAUAAAACAAAAUAUUAGAGCCACAACCAAUUUUCUAUCUUAUAUAAUUAAAAAUAUUAAACAUUUUAACCAAGAAGAAAAUUAAAAUUGUGAUCAAGUUACAUCCAUAAGCAAAAAGUUAAAAUAGUGAUUAUCGACUCUAACUUUCACAUAAAAAUUUAACAAUUUUUUAAAAAUAUAAACAAUAAAAUAAUAUGACAAUGUAAUAGGAUUAUAAAAUAAAUAGAUAUUUUAUUUAGGAGGAAUAUAGAAAAUCUUAUGUCCUAAGCUUCUAAAUUUGUUCAUAAUGAAUUUAUUUUUAUAUUAAAUUUGUUUUCAUUAAUUAUUUCUUAUAUAUUUUUAUUUUGUGUCUAGAAUAUCCAUAAAUAAUUGAAAUCGGUAAAUGUAAAAGAAGAAAUAAUGAAAAAAUAAAAUUAAAAAGAUUUCAUGAAGUCAACACAUUAGAAAAUAAGAACAGAAAGGUAGAGAUAUUACGAAGGAGAGGAAAAAGAAAAAAGAAAAAUCAUAUGACAUGGUUGUCAUAUUAAAGUAAAAAGAAAAAAAAAUAAAAUUUUGUAGUAAUUAACUGUGAAAGGAGAUCGAGGGUUACAGGGUAAUUUUAAAAUUUUGAUGAUUUCACUAUUGAAAUACAUGUUUCUAGAAUUAAUUUUUCCAAGAUGUAUGUACUUUAAAAUUUAAAAUUUAAAACUUUAAAUUUUUUAUAUUUUUUAGUUGUUGCAUGAAUAUUACAUCAUUCUCCAUGAAUAGAAUGUGAUAGGGCAUGGUUUUUAAAUCACUUUUAUAAUAAUUUUUUUAUAAUUAACAAGUUUGGCAAAAGAUAUUCUUAAAUGAUUUAAUUUAUAUUCAAUGCUAGUAGUCAUUUUAAUUGGAUAAACUUUUCAAAAGCAAAUUUGAAGAAUUUGGGUCAAAUGUAAUGUGCAUUUUUGUAGGGCCCUCCCAAUGGACCUCGUAAUGCCAAAACUUCUGGCCUUCAUGUUUUGUCAACUUGUUCACACAAUAAGCUCACGAGCUUUACCUUGCUUUAUCUUGUGAGACUUUGAUAUAUGCUUUGUUUGUAUUAAAGAGGUAAAAAAGUUCUUAACCACCAUUCCAUUUUGCACUAAAAAAAAAUUGAUAUAGACAUGCCAAUUGACUUUGUGUGUCAAAUAUUGUCAUGAUGCAUAUGAGAAAAUAAUGUGUCAUUUGACUCCUUUGAGUCAAAUCUUGCCUUUAAGUACAGAGAAAUAUUUGAGAAAUCGCAAGCAUUUUUUCUUUGUUGUUCAUUAAUAUAUGGAAUAGGUUGACCUUUGAAUUAGUCAAGGACAUGGUAGGUCUUUUGGUCUUAUUUUUACUCAAAUUUAUUUGACUCAAAACUGAAGUAGCAUUAAAAAUGAUACUUCAUGUGGUUGUAAAUUUACAUUUCCUAAGGGUUUUCUUCCCUAUUUGAACCAAAAAUUGAUUUUUAGGGUUAGAGGAACACCUCCCCUACAACAGUCAGACAAACUCCAUUGAGUUCCUCUUCCAUUCAAAGAGUGGGUGUGUUUGUUUCCCAAGAAAAUCUAACCCAUUUUAAGUUCAAAAUAAAUUUUUAUCAAAUUUUUCUUUAGAGCUUGGGUUGAUUCAUUUGGUUCUUCCAAAGAUGAGAACUUUUAACUCAAUGACCCAAUCAAAUUACAUGCAUAAUAACAUGAAAAUCUAGAAACUUAAGUAUUACCGUUUCUAAAUAUGACAACUUUUAAUUCAACAACCCAAUCAAAUAAUCAUGCAUAAUAACGAGAAAAAUCUAAAAACCUAAGAACUACCGUUUCCGAAGAUAUGGACUUUUAAUCUAAUAAACCCAUCAAAUAACAUGCAUAGUAACAAGAGAAUCUAAAACCCCUAAGAACUAACAUUGCCAAUUUAACCCAAUAACCCAAUCAACUAACAUGCAUAAUAACUAGAGAAUAUAAAAAAACCCUAAGAACUAAUCAUUGAAACAUGAAAAUUUUGAUAGUAUGGGAAUAACCUAUAAACCUUAAAAUUAUCAAACUUUGAAAAGUAAGAUUUUUAAUAAAAUAGCAUUCUAACACCAUGAAUGAUAACUAGAAAAUUUAAAACCGAACCAAAAUUUUCAAGAUAAGACUUCUAAGAAAAUAGCAUUUUGAUAACAUGAAUAGUAACUAGAAAAAUUAAAACCUAACCAAAAUGUUCAAGAUGAGACUUUCAAUGAAAUAGAAUUCUAAUAUCAUAAAAUAUGUUCCAAAAAAUUUAAAACCUAACCAAAUUUUUGUAUAACCAACUUUUCAAGAUGGGAAUUUUUAAUAAAGUAACAUUCUAAUAACAUAAGAAGUGUACUUGAAUAUGUCUAAGUAUGUUGUCCUAAAGGAGCACUUAAAAAGAAGCUAUUCUAAAAAGAGAAAAGGAAAAUCCUAGAUCUAACUUGGGGUUUCCAAGGGUCACAAUGAGGGGCUAGAUAAAUCCCUCAACUAGAGUCUUUGAGAUGGCUAAAAAAGGUAAGUUGUGUGAGUUGAAAAUGGGCCACCAGGGAGACUACUGCAAAGUAUGAAAAUAGCACUUAAUAGGGCAUGUGCUAACGUAACAAAUGGAAAGUCUACACUUGCAUGCUAGAUUUAUUCUAAGUUGUGCUCACAUCUAUUUUGCAAGGUUGUUUUAUUCAUCUCAUGGACCCUAAGGAUGAAUGAAUGAAAUGCUUUUAUUAAUUCAAUUGAAUGAAUGAAUAUGAAUGGAUAUGAUCUUUGCCAUUUGAUUCUCUAGUUUGGGUUGUGCACCCCAUGAGGGGUACAAGAUUUUUAUUUUAUUGUAAAAAUAUUUUCUUUUCAAUAGAUGGGUUGUAAGCUCCAUUAUAGGAGCAUAUAAUUUUAUUUUUUAUUUUUUUGAUUGUAAAUUUUUUUUUUUAUCCAUUUAUGGUGACCCAAAAGGAAAGGAAAAAUUCUUAAAUUUUCAUUUUUGAGAUCCUAUGGUGACUUAAGAAAAAAGAAAGAUUCUUGAAAGUUCUUGAUUUGAGAUCCUAAUUUGACUCAAAAUUGGGACAAAUCAUAUAUGGUUUUGAAGCUUAGGAAGUUAGGAAUCCAAUGCUUCAAACAAUUUUCUAUUCGGAGUUGAAAUGAGGAAGAUAUAGUCAAUUGAAGUAAGGUUGUACAAAGAGCAUACUAUUUCAGAAUUAAGUUCGGGCCAAAUUGUUUUUGGUUAUUUGGGCUUCUUUUUUAGCUUUUUUUUUUUUUUUUUUUUUUUUUGUGGAAAUUCGACAUUUUAGGGUUUUGUCAAUUUUUACUAACUAAUCUUUGGUUGUAAGAAUAUUUUGAUAAUUUGAAUUUUGUCCAAUUUUUAAUUACCAAAUAUGCAAUAGGAUCCCUAAAGUUCAUGAGAAAUAUUUAUUUAAUUAUUUCCUUGUUUUUAUUUUAUGUUAUCUUUAUUACUUGCUUAUGUGACCUAAAAUAGGAUAAUUUGGUAUUCUUAAUUAGAUAUAAAUUUUCAUGGGCUUUUUCAAAAUAGGAAAACUUAUUUAAAUUGGAAUGUGUAUUGUUAGGAAAUUUAUUUUAAGAAAAGAUAAGUUAGAAAAGAAUUAAGAGUUUCCAUUCCUUUUAAAAAUUAAUUCUUAAUGAUUUUAAUUUUAUUUAAAAUUUUCUUAGAUCUUUGAGAUCUCUAAGAAUAAAAUCUUUCUUUUAAUGAAAAAACUCUUGUUUUUCCAAAUCUUUAUAAAAUAAUAUUUUUCCUAUUUUGCACAAGGUUUUGAUUUAAAGAAAAUAAGUUGAUUUUGAAAAUUCAUAAUAGAUAAUUUAUAAUUAAGAAGGUUACCAAAAUAAGUAUUCAAACCUAAAGAAAAAUGUUUUGGUAUUCUCUAUAAAUUUUCAUGAAAAGAUUUUUCCAAGAUUAUAUAUUUGAAUUGGUUGUUGCUAAUGAGAAUCUUAUUCAUUUGGAACUAUCAUUUUGAUUUUGGUAUAGAUGCUUCUCCAAGCUACUACACCAUACCUAAGAUGGUCCUUCAGGCUCUCUCCUCCUGAGAUAAGGAGGAAACCCCUAUUUGGAUAUGGAUAGUUCAAAAAUAAAGACUAAGAGAGCAAUUUUGUUUAGCAAACGAGUCUUAGUUUAAAAGAUAAAUAACGGAUUUGAAAAACCUCAUGAUAAGAAGGGUUUUCAAUCUUGUAUGUAGAGGUGUCUAAUGGGUCGUGUUGGGCUGACAUGACCUAAUAUUGAUCGGGCCAUUAGGGGCCAAUGUGUCGGGUUGGGUCGACCCAUGCAAGCCAAAUAGGUGACUCGACACGGCCCAUAAGUCCAUGGGCUAAUCGUGUCAUGCUGGGUCGGGUCGUGCUGUGCCGGUGGGCCAUGGCCCAUGGGCCACUCACUUUGUUAAAAAUUUUAAUUUAAUUUUUUAAGUCAUUUUUUCUUAAGUUUUUUCCUUAUUAAAUAAAUUUUAUUUUUGUUACUUUAAACACCUCUAAUAAUUAUAUUUUUAUUUUAUUUUUUAUAUACUUCUAAUAAUUAUACUUUUUAUUUUUUACAUUUAUAUUUAUUGAGUUUGUAAUUGUAAAAUUUAUAGAAAUAUUAGUUUUUUGUUUUUAAAAAUAGUAAAAAAAAAUUACAUUUGAAUUUGUUUAUUUUAUUUUUAUCAAAAUAACAAUAAAUUUAAAAUAAUGGAAUAUAAAAGGAAAUGAAAUAUAAAAAAAUAAUUCUUUUAUUCAAUAUUUCAACAAAUUACAUGAAAAAAUAAUGAGAAAAAAAAAACAAAAGUGAGAAUUGCAUCACUAUAGUUUGAGUACAUCCCAACUAGGUUGGCACCCACCCAACUAUCAAUCAUAUGCAUUACUUAACCUUUAAAAAUUAACUACAUUUAAUAGAUUUAAAAGAAACGAACAACAUAUAAUUCUUCAAUUAUCAUAUUCACUUUUGUCUUCUUAUUCAAUCUUCAUUCUUAUUUUUUCAUCUUCAAUCAUCAUCAAUCUCUUGAACAUCAUUGUUUGCAUUGAGAUGCAAUUUCUUGAAGGCUUCUUUAAGUUCAUCCUCUAAAGUUUGACAUGAAAAAAGUAAAAAUAGUUAUUGAUUUACUUUUUUUACCCCUCAAACUAGUUGUAAUAUAAUUGUUAAGAGGGGUAUUAUAGACAUUUGACAUGUAAUAAAAAGUAAACACUAAAAGGUGAAAUUUAAAAGGGCCAAGUGGGUCGACACGGUGGGCCGACGGGUUGUUUCUUUAGGCCUAGCAUGGCCUGCUCCUUUGGGUCGUGUUGUCUUAGCUUGCUAUAGUGUUAGGCCAUACUGGCCUUGCCUGACCUUUUGGCGUGCCGAGCCACGGGCCAAAAUGGGCAGCCCGACCCAAUGACCCAGAUUUCAUUAUACAUUUGAAUGGUUUGAAUUGGAAGUUUGAUUUAGGACAAAAUCAAUAACCAUUAAAAAAAGAAAGAAUAUUGUAACACCGUUCAUACCUAUUGACUUUCGUUUUUAAUACUAUUGAAAAUUUUCACGAAUGAGAAGGCAACAAAGCAAGAAUUCUUAAGAUUCUAACUAUGCUACAGUCAUGAAAGAAGAAAAAGGGGGGAGAAGUAAUGUUUUUAUACUACAACCCACAAUCAUGAAAUAAGAAAAAAGAAAAUUCCAAAAAAUAUAGACCAAACAACAAGAACUUGCUUAGGCAUCUUCUAUACGUGAUCCUUUCUUGUCACUUGUUUUUUUUCCAUACUGGAAUGUAAAAUCCUACCAUGAGUGUUAAAAUAAGAUUGCCAUACUUAUUAACCAAUUAGUGAGUAAUUCCUACAAGUGAUAGUUUCUUAUAAUACACAUAUUUCUUGUUUACUUGAGCGCUAGUAGUAAUGAUCAUAAUUUUAAUAUAUUGAGAAUGUAAAAUUUUCUAGCAACAAAUAUAUUUAGCCCAUUGUAUUACAAAAAAGUACUAAAUGAAGAAAAAAAAUAGAGAUGGAAAGAAAUCUAAAUUCUCUUUAGUUCAAAGGUAUAAAAUAAAAUCAAAUAUAAUAAAAAAAUUCAAAAUUUUUCAAUCUUUAUGUAGAAUAGAAAAAAGAAGAAGAAAAAGGAUACUCUUGGUGAAACAUGUAAGAAAUGUUAAUUGAAUUUAAAUUUAUUUUUCAUUUUAUUAUUUUUUUAAAAACUUUUUAUUGUUUUAAAUUAAGAAAUAUACUAAAGACAUAGGUUUUAGUGAUUGCCAUAUGUUGGUAAUAAGCAGGGAAUGUCACUAAAAAAUACAAUAUAUUUUAAUUAAAUGUUACCAAGUAUUGUAUAAUGAAUGAGAGAUGAAUGUUCAAAGAACUCAACCCCUUUUUCUUUUUAGAAAAUCCAUUAGAAAAUUUUUCUUGAAGACUUGAAUAAGAUUUCCUUGGAAAGCAAACAACCUCCAAAAGAGGAAGGGAAUGAAGAGCUCACUCACCGAUUGUUGCUCUCUACAAGCUCUCUCCUCCUGAGAUAAGGAAGAAACCCCUAUUUGGAUAUGGAUAGUUCAAAGAUAAGGACUAAUUAGAAAACAAUUUUUUUAACACACGAGUCUUAGUUUAAAAAAUAAAUAACGGAUUUGAAAAAUCUCAUGAUAAGAAGGGUUUUCAAUCUUGUAUAUUUAUAUUGUCAUUCAAUGACUUAAAUUUCAUUAUACAUUUGAAUGGUCUGAAUUGAAAGUUUGAUGUAGGACAAAAUCAAUACCCAUUAAAAAAGGAAAGAAUAUCGUAACACCAUUCAUACCUAUUGACUCUCCUUUUUAAUACUAUUGAAAAUUUUCACAAAUGAGAAAGCAACAAAGCAAGGAUUCCUAAGAUUCUAACUAUGCUACAAUCAUGAAAGAAGAACAAAGAAAAUUCCAAAAAUAUAGACCAAACAACAAGAACUUGCUUGGGCAUCUUCAGUAAGUGAUCAUUUCUUGUCACUUGUUUUUUUCCAUAUUGGAAUGUAAAAUCCUACCAUGAGUGUUAAGAUAAGAUUGCCAUAAAAGAAAUUAUCAAAUAUGACAAUAUUUUUUCUAAUUUUCAAAGAAUUAUCAAAUAUGACACUAAAUUUUCAAAAUAACACUAAAUUUCUUUCUAUUUUGGAUUUAAAAGUGAGUAGUAAAACUAAAAUUAUCAAAUAUGACAAUAUUUUUUCUAUUUUUCAAAGAAUUUCGAAAGCAUUAUAUUUAAUUAAAAACACUUGGCUGAUAAAUAAAUAAACUGAAAACAUGGGAAUUCUGGAGAGCUACGAAACGGAGAUAAGAAUAUAAUUAAGGAAAAUGAAAGUGAAAGCCAAGGAAUGAGCAUCAUCACCUCCUAGAAGUAUCUAACCCACCUCGCUGAAGUUUGCUAUAAAUACCUAACAAUUUCCCUUGAGUUCAUCAAUGCUUGAGUUUGAAUCUUAUCAAUCACAGUAGUAGCAAUGGCAGACGAGAUUAUCUUGUUGGAUUUCUGGCCUAGCCCGUUUGGUAUGAGGGUCAGAGUUGCCCUGGCAGAGAAGGGUCUCAAGUAUGAAUAUAGAGAGGAGGACCCGAGGAACAAGAACCCUCUGCUUCUUGAGAUGAACCCCGUUCAUAAGAAAAUCCCAGUUCUGAUCCACAAUGGAAAGCCCAUUUGUGAGUCUAUGAUAAUAGUUCAGUAUAUUGAUGAGGUUUGGAACAAAAAAUCUCCGUUGUUGCCUAGUGACCCAUACCAGAGAGCUCAGGCCAGGUUCUGGGCGGACUACAUAGACAAGAAGGUAUGCCUUUUCUGUUGAUUUAAAGCAUUCUUUUCCAUUGAUUCAUGGCGAUUGACUCACAUUUUGAUUAUGGUGAGGGAUUUAUCCAAAAUGCUAGUUCUUCACAUAUUCUCUUCUGAUAUUGAGUUUUGUUGGCUUUGGUGUCCCAAACUAGAACUUUACUGAUUCUCUUGCUGUUUCUUCAACAAGACUCCCCUCUGCAUUUCUGAUAUGGGUUUUUAUUUCUUUGUUCUGUUGAAUCCGACGUCUGUUCGUUCCAUCCAAAAAAGCAGAUCUCAAGAAUACCUUUUCCCCCAAGAAAGGGAAUACAUAAACCAGAAUUUUAAAGAACAGAUUUUGGUUUUUCGUUAUCCUGCUGUUCAACAUUUUGCACAACAGUUGUUUUAAUAUAUGUUCUGUCUUUUUGAUCUCUUUCUUCUCAUUUCUUUAACACAAAUUGAGGGGAAAAACUUUAGCAAAUGAUACAUUCUUUCAACUGAUUCUGAUAUUUUUCCUAGGAUACGAGAUUUCUAUGCCGAAGGGUCGUUAAUAAACUUGCCCAACUAUACAGAAAGUUUGAAACUUGAUGAAAUGCUUCCAAAAGAAAAAAAAAAAACCCUUUUCUCUCUUUGACUCCAUUACUUUCCACAGCUCUAUGAACUUGGAAGGAGGAUAUGGUCAACCAAAGGAGAAGAGCAGGAAACAGCCAAGAAUGAAUUCAUAGAGUACCUUAAGAUUUUGGAAGGAGAGCUUGGAGAGAAGCCUUACUUCGGUGGUGAGAAAUUUGGGUUUGUGGAUGUGGCUCUGGUGACUUUCUCAACCUUGUUUUAUGCGUAUGAGAGCUUUGGUAACUUCAGCAUAGAGGUGGAGUGCCCCAAGUUGAUCGCUUGGACCAAGAGGUGCAUGGAAAAGGAGAGUGUGUCGUCUUCUCUGAAAGACCCACAGAAGGUCCAUGGCUUUGUCAUGGAGAU